UCGUCUUGAUUUUUCCAUCAAUGGCCAAGUACGGCGAAGGCGACAAGCGAUGGAUCGUGGAGGAAAGACCUGACGGUGCUAAUGUCCACAACUGGCACUGGGCUGAAACCGAUUGCCUCCCUUGGUCUAAAACGUUCUUCACCAAAUCGCUUUCCGAUCUCACCAUCCUUGAUUGCCAAGGUAAUCUCAGCAUCAAGACCUAGAAGGUCAAAAAGGUCGACGGCGAAGCCUAUGUUAAUGUUCGCAAAGGUAAAAUCUUCCCGGAUAUGAAAUCAGUUUGAGUUUAUCCUGGGAAGGCGAAGCCAAAGAUGAGGAAGGGAAGACGCUGUUGAAAGCUGAAGGUAAUCUAGAGAUUCCGUACAUUUCGGAUGAGAAUGCUGACGAGGAUCCGGAAGUUAAGGUGACGAUUAAAGACGAAGGACCCAUUGGUAAAGCCUUGAAGGAAGCGAUGCUGGCCAAAGGGAAGCCUUUGGUUUUGGAGAAAGUGAGUGAUUUUGUAAAAGCUAUGGCGAAAGGUGGCCCUGUUAAAGAUGAAUUGGAAGCCAAGAAAUCGGCUCCCAAAAAUACUACUACUACUACUAGUAAUAGUAACUCAGCUGCGAUGUCUAAGGAGAAAGUUGGGGUGGAGAAGGAAGCCAAAAAGGAAGUGAAGAAGGAAGGGAAGAAAGGGUUUAAGACGAUUACAAUGUCGGAGAAAUUUAAUUGUAGAGCUAAGGAUAUGUACGAGAUUUUGAUGGAUGAGAAUAGAUGGAAAGGGUUUACUCAGAGUAAUGCUAGGAUAAGUAAAGAUGUCGGUGGCCAAUUUAGUAUUUUCGAUGGAUCGGUUACUGGAAUUAACUUGGAGUUGCAAGAAGGGAAGUUGAUUUCUCAGAGAUGGAGAUUUGGGAGUUGGUCCGACGGGAUUGAUUCUACAGUAAGUUUAAUGGAUUCCGCUUUUGCCUGUUCUCCAGGUUUUUGGGAAUGCAGUGUGGUCGGAUGAUGGCUUAUCUUUACUGGGUGGUUGUUAUUGUUGCAGGUAAGACUUGUUUUCAAUGAGCCUGAGCCUGGGGUUACUGUAAUCAAACUCACGCAUUCAGAUGUUCCCGGGGAAUGCAACUGUGGUGGAGAACACUGAGAGAGGUUGGAGAGACCUUAUUUUCAGUAAGAUACGGGCAGUAUUUGGUUUUGGAAUAUGAUUAAUUUUAUUCCAAAACGAGGAAUUCUUUUUUAGGUUUGAAUUAUUGGAACUUCAUGAAGAAUUGGAACUUCAUGAAGACUUAUUCUUUCAACUAUUUUAUUGUGAAAGAUUUAUAAGACUUUGCAACUCUGAUCUUGGUCUACUGGUUCAUGGUUUUAAAGUUGAAACUUGGACCGAGUGUCUCUGUUGUCUUGUUUGCCAAUACCCAAACUAUCCUUUUAGACUUAUAAUAAUGACAAUGAUGAAAAUGUUGCCUUCCAGCAACUUAAAGUCUGUCAGGGCGCAGAGUGUCUCCUUGAGGAUGUAUAUCCUUUGUGUACAUAUUAAUGUUAUGAUGUUACUUAAGGGCGAAAUUUGGUUUGGGUUGCUGGUUUAUUUUUCUGCCGCUUUAAUGUAUUGAUCUUGAUGAUACUGAAUAAAAGCUCAAAUUGAAUUGUUCUCUUUCUUCUGUUGGAAGCAUACAGACUUUUUUGGCAUUGGGUCUUAGAAUGAUCAAUCACUCACAGGCAAGGUGAAGUUUGUGGGUUGCUUCACUAGAGUGUCCAUGGUUUUACAAUAAAAUUAGGGAUCUCAUACAAUUUUCUCUGCAUAGUUUGUGAUUAUGUAUUUUGAAGCUAAAUGAUAAUCUAGUUAAUGUAGGUUUUGGAUUAUCCAUUGCUUUUGAAAAAUUUUUAAUGGUUUACAUCAUAUCUGGUGCAUGGACCAUGGUUAGCUUAGCUACCGAUUCUAUAGUUUGUUAUUCUUUGAGAGUAUAAGUGGAAACAUGAUUUUGUUUCUGUUACCAGAGUGGGCACGAUAAUCUAGCAUCUUGACAUACGGCUGUUUAUGUGUUUAGUUGUUCAAAAUGAAGCGCUAGUAGUGUUGGCCCUGGGAAGAGCAGGAAUCAUCUUUGGUCCACUUAAUUCAGAGUGUGCAUAGGUACAACGAAAAUCAUGAGGUUAGAAAAGGAAAUAAUCAAAUUGUCGUUCCUCAAUUGAUAGCAUAUGGCUAACUGUUGUUGUUUAGUUAUAUGUAUGCAUCUCAUUGCAAAUGUCUUUGUAGUAAAAGAGUUAAAGAGAGCUUCAUAUACAGGGAUUAAGAUGUGUUUUUAGUACUGUAAGGCGCAUGUCUCCAACUAGAUACUUCGAUUAGUCGUAGUGGAGAACGUUCCAAGAUGUAAUUUGUGAAGAUAGAUAAAUCAUUUAGUACCACGGUUAGUAGCAGAUGUGCCGUUACAUGUGUUUUAUGUGUACAUAACAGCUCCAAAUCCAAUGUCUUUUAGGUAGCAUGUAAGGAUUCUUAGGUUGGAUAUGAUUAAAGUUCAUUUUGCAUUCAGAAACUUCAAUUCAUUCCCUAAGGCCUUUUAGCUUUAUCAAGAACCGUAUACUUUUGUAUUCUCUUACGUAUUUCUGCAUAGCAGAGGGCCCAAGUUCUUUAUGUACAGGCAUGAUGAAAUCUUUCACCUAGAAAAAUUUUGCCACAGAUGUUUAGCAGGGAGCCCCAGCUUGGACACAAUAUGAGAUUGAGUUCAUCUGCCCUGUUAGAGCUAUAGGUGUACUAACAUAUAUCUUUAUGGGUAAUAAUGAUGGGAAUUUUUAACUCUAGAAGUGAAGUUAAAAUUUUGUCUCAUGUUCUAUUUAUUUAGUUAUUAACUUUUAAAUACAAUUUAAAAUCUAUGGUAAAAUCUCAAUCUCGUAGAAAAUUUUUAAUGUCAGUCCUAAAUAAUUAUCAUUGUUUCCCCAUACGAUUCUUUGUUCUUUCCAUUUGAACCUUCCAAGGUAUUUCUUGUUGUAAUGUGGUGUGUUCUUGGGGUCCGCAAUUUUAAUGGCUUGGACCUACUGGACCUUGGUUCUAUGAAAAUUGAAAUUGUGGCUGACGAGAUUCUCUGGUGUGAUGCAAGUUAAUGACUUGGUUGACUUAAAUUAAAAUUUAACCAUCUCUUUUUAGGGUUGAGUUCAUUGAGUUUGACCGGAUUGUUAAGUUUCCUUGAUAAUUUGUUUUGCUUUGGUUAUAUUAAUUUUGGGUUUAUUUUGAUCAAAUGAGUUGUUUCACAGUUUUUUAUUAAAUAUUUUUAAAAAUAAAUGAAAUUUUCAAGUAAAUAAAAAAUAUCGGUAAACUAGUUUAGGUUGGUUUUAAGAUUUCUUUGAAACUAUGGAACUUGCUUGCUUUGUUCCAUGUUUAUCAAUAUAUAUUUGAGGUGGCAAGUAUAUAUUUAUGUUUUGGAUUUUGCAGAUCUUGCAAUGUUUUAGGAAUUGGAUUGGUUGAACUGUCUAAUAGUUGGUUUUUUUGUUUAAUCGAGCCUUAAACAAAUUUAUAAAUCGGUUUGAUUGAUUUAAUUGUCUGAGCAAAGAAACGAUUUGGUCUAAAUUGGUUUUAUGGGACGGACUGCUAAUUUUAUGGUCAAUUGGUUUGGUUCUGAUAUCGUCUUUUCCCCCGUAAGUCUUCUUUACAAAUGUAAUAGCACAUGAUACGUUUAUAUUGGGUUUUCACUUUCAUGUUAGAUUUUUAUAUUACUAAUAGAACGGGCGAGAGUUAUUUUUGGAGAAUGCAUUUUGUUUUUGAAAAAGUAUUUAGAUUUUUAAUUUACUUUAUUGCCUUUGCUUUGUCAAGGUUACAUGGUACAUGGUAAUGCUUUCAAAUUUUUUGUGUGCAGUUAGAAUUAUGGCAAUUAUUAUAUUAUGAUUAUGGUACCUCAAUACUAAGAUAUAAUUUAUUUUUAAAAUGACUGUGGAUAAUCUUAAAUUCUAAAUUCAAUACUUAUUGAUAUUCAGUUGUGUACUAAAUUUUAAAGAAAAUAAAACAUAAUUUAUAUAAAUUUUAACGGAAAUAUAGAUCGAAGUCCACACUAAACUUCAAUUAAAAUUAUAGCAGAACCUUUAUUUUUAAAAUUAUAAAUAGUUAAUUAAACUUGUUACUUUGACAAUAAACUAAAACAAACGGUGGUUUACUUUCUACCUAACAUUAUAUAAUUAAGUACCUCCAAUUUAUUAAGAUCUAAAGGACAAGCUGAUUGGAAUGCUAAUGAUAUUGGAGCAUUUUUCUUGUCACUUGACCUAGCGACAAUAUAUAUAAUUUUGCUUACAAAGAGGAUAAUUAUUCAAAUCACAAAUGUUGAGUUUUAACAUGAAAGCUAUAUCUAGAGAGUUCCAUUUAUUUCCUCCCAAAAGGCAAAACAAUAAUAUCACUGGCAUAUGUAAUGUUGUUGAUGGGGCAUUUUAUGGAUGAGUGUCUUGUAACGAAAAGUUUUGAGUACAAUCUCGAGUAAACCUUUUACAAAGCUUUCAGAAUAGGUAUCAACAUUUCGGUUGAUUUCAAAAAGCAUCAGGUGAAGUUAAACUUAUUGGAGAGGCGAUUUGAGUAUCCCCUAGAGAAUCUAACAUUCAUUGAUAUUGAUUGUUAUUCAUGCACGUAUAUUUUUUGCUUGAUCAGAGGUAUGUUGAUGUUAAAAAAGUUUUGCAACUUAGUUUAUACAAUUUACCUUAUGUUUUAAUCAAAUUUCUCAACAACUAGUACAUAUAGUUGGGGCUUUUCCAUUUUGGCUUCCAUAUGUAGGGCGUUGUGCAAGGGAAGUAGAGUGGAGAAAGGGAACGUGAAUGGUUGCUAUGUGAUUUUAUAGUAGUGGGGUUGGUAUCUAUCGCGUGUGAAUAUGAUAUGCGAAUUGUGCAAGUAUACACGUCGGAUCAAGUAAUAAAGUGAUAAGUGAGUAUCGUUCCCACAAGGAUUGGAUUGAGGCACUAAAGUGGUCAAGUUAUUAUAAUAAAAUGCUAUUAAUGUUAUGGUAAAGCUAUGGUAAGUAUGCAGUGGCAAUUAAAAGGAAUAAUGAUGUAUGCAAUAUGUGAAAUUAAUGAAUACUUGGAAAUGCUAUGGCAAAACGAGAGUAGGAAUGUAAUGGUAAUUAUGAAAAUGAUUAUAUGAAUAAUAUGUAACUGAACAAAUUAACGACUAAGAAUGCUAUGGAAAAGAUUCUACGGCAAGGGAUAAAGGAUAUACCAUGUUGAUAUGAAAGGUCGGGAUUACUAAGAAUCUACUCUUACUGUCAGGAAUGCCUCAACAAAAUCAUACUUAACCUACUACUCAAAAGAGUUCUAAAGUGGCCUGCUUUUUUCGAAGGUAGAAACCUCAAGUUACCUUACCUGUGUCUAUAGGCCUUUAAUAUGGUACCUUGCAUUGUUUCCUUCUGUAUGAAUGCUGUUCUAUGUCUAGAGUCUACUGUAAGUAUCUGUCGAGUACUUGCUCAUAUCAUUCAACCACGGUCUAACUAAUCUAACCCUUUCAGAAUUUAGAUUAAUUUAAGGGUAUGCUGCAUAGUCAAUUAUGUCUAGGGAUUGCUCACAUACAUUUUAAAGAAUAAAAAAAUUGAAUGAAACACUAAAAUAAUUCAGAUUUAUACUGCAUCCAUUAAAAACAGUUGAAGUUUCAUCAAAGUAACCCUAACCCUAUGAGAUUUAGCUCAUAGGUUGGCAAAUAAAAUUCAAAUCAAACAUAGUUUUCAUCACUAUAAUUCAUGAAGGAAUAGAUUAGAAAUAAUGGAAGAACGUCAGGAAGACAGUGUUCACUUGCCCAAUCCGCACUUCAGCUGCGUAGUGUCCUGAGGUGGUUGAGAGGGGUUGCCUGCGUCUUUCCUCUUUAUGUCUCUAUUCAACCACUACAUUCUAAUUUGCCUAAGGAUAUCUACCUACAGUUUCACACCCUAGGGUUUCCUCAUUUGCUUCUUUUUAAAUUGCUUUCUUUUUUCCUUUUCAGGAUAAUUCCAAUAGCCCUAAGAUUUAUCUUCUCCUUUUUUCUAGGCAAAUUUAUCUGUUACAAGUAAAGUUGGGUUGAAACUGAUAUGCGCUGAAUGCUGACUGGACACCUUUCUAGCAUUGCCACGGCAUACGAGCUAGCAAUCUGACCACUUUUUUUCCCCGACAAAACUUCACUCCUUUAUUUUUUUGUUUCCCAUCCUGCACCUGCCAAUACCAUAAAACACUGUUGAAACGCCGGCACCCCUACGGCGUAGCGGAAAAAUAAAACACCCGGCGAUCCUAACCAUGGAUCCAUGUGUGAGGAACGAAUCGGGGUGAAAAAGGGUUUGAAAAUUACCAAAUGGUGAUUCUGAGUAGACAGCGACGCCUCGGCAAUGAGUAAUCUGAUCUACUAUUGAACCAAGCCGCAAUCUUUGAUGACUCCGACCUCUACAUAGUCCACCCAGUUGACUAUGAACGGAAGGAAUCCCCAAACAAUUUUGGAGAAGACUUUACUUUGACGGCUGCUAGACUCACCAAGCAAAGAAAAACGAGAUUUUAUAUCUUAUUAUUUUUUUACGGUUUCUCAAAAUUAAAUAAAUAUAAUAAUGUUUAAAAAACUAAAAAUUAUAAUUACAUUAAUUAUAAUAAAGAUUUCGGUAAACUAUAUUUAUUUAUAUACGAACCAAAAUCAUAUUCUCAUUAUGUGUACAACAACCUUGUACAUAUAAUGUGUUCGAUAUUUAAUUACCCAAUUAAAUUAAUUCUAUAAUUAAUUUAAUUCAUGCGACAACCAAACACAAUACCAAUUAUGUUUUAUUCCGUUCAUUUCAACUAUAGGGUGUGACCCUGUAGGUUCUUGUAACGUUAGCAGUAAUGUUAGAACGAUUCCAAUGUUACAGACAAUGAGUGGCACCUAGAAAUGCAUCAUUGCUACCUAAGUCACAAGAAAUCAUGAUUCGACAUAACCUUUUUAUGAUUAAUCUUUUAAUGCACUAAUCCUUAAAUCCUUUAUCUCUGGAUUGAACACAAGUCAUGGAAUAGUCACACUUGUAUAGUCCAUUCCAUGUUCCUUGAUAUCUUAAGUAGACUAUGAUAUACAAAUAAGUAUGACAUCUCAUAUCAGCUUAUUUGAGCAUGGCCAUGCAUUUCUAGUCUCACUCAAUCAAGUGGCCUGAGAUAUUACUCUCAUUAUGUAAGAGGGACUUAUCUUAUAUCGAUCAACCAUAUCCCUCUACAAAGACUGUGGUAUAUCCAACAUCAGCCUUUAUAGAACAACCAGUUACGGUGUACGUUUGACUGUAUCAAAAUAUACAACUCAUGAUGUUGGGAUUAUGAUAAUCUCAAGUCUGAGGAUCAUAUACAUAUUAAUCACUAUGAGUAAUGUCGUGACAAUUACAUAAUAAUCCAAGAAACAUACUCAUAACGGGUUAGUCCAAUAUGUUGUUCUCUAACACACAUAUUCAUGCAUCGAUUCUGACAUUCCAUAUCAAUGACAACUCUUUAUCAUCAAUCAACUACAUGUUAGUCUUAAUGCAUUAUCGUUGUCCUUUUAAGAAUAAUCAUAUUAUUCUCAAGACAUUAUUAUAAAAUAGUUUAUUUAUACACACAGAAAAGAAACCGAAAUAAUAAUGGUAACGCCUUAUAUUAAUAAACAUGAUAAAUCAAGUAUGUUAUUACAACCAUCUCAUGAUUGAUCUUUGGGCAUACUCUAACAAACACAACCCUUCCACGAGCAAUUAAAAACACCUAAUAUUUAAACGCAACCCAAGUUCUAAUGCAAUGCUAAAAAUACUAAUGAAAUGUCCUAAAAUGCAACUAGAUGUACUUAAGUACAGGCAAUUAACUAGGUCCAAAGGCAUAAAAUACGACUCUUUUUAAGAGUUAUCAGUAUCGACUUUCUUUUAUUGUGCUACCUUUUUUAAACCUCAAUUUUCCUUUAACCAUAAAUCCAUUGUUUUUUAAAUGUUUUAUAUCUAUACUAAAAUUUUGUAAUUUAUUAGUUGGUUCAAACACUAUGAAUAUAAAACAUGCAAGAAGGACAAUUUGGUAUCAAUAGAAGAAGCAAUUGAUGGGUUGUGUUCUUUGUGGCCAAAUUCAUUUAGUUUAAUUAAUAUCACCUUAUAAUAAAAUUUAAUGUUUCUUUAUAUUUAAAAUUUAUAUGGAUAUUGUACCAAGCUAAAGAAAUUGCAACCUUACUAUCAUUGGAGGCACGUGCGUACAACCAUGCUUUUACCAUUUGCACGUCGCUUAUUUACUUUUCUUGUACAGAGUGGCAUCAACCAGAUCAGAUAUUAUAACUGUUUGGGAUGGUUCAAGGACUUCUGGUAGAUGUAGAGAACAUGGAUGACUAUCAUCCUAUAAAUUUGUGUUUGAGGUUGGAGUGCCACUAUGCCAUUUGAUUCGUACAACAUGUGGCACAUUGGACCGAUUGUCUCCAACAUUAGCCACAAGUUACAUUUAUUGAUACGAUAAUUUUACAUAUUUUGAGAUAUAUAUAUGGAAUGAUUUAAGGCCAAUGGUAAACCAUACAUGUAUUUCUUAGGAGAGACUUUAUUAUCUCGAAAUGAUCAUCCAUUUUUCAAACAUUAAAGGAGGGAUAUGUAAGCACAAGCCCAACAUGUUGUUAUAGGCCAAGUUAGAGGAGGGAGGGAUCUACAACCAUGUUGUGGCAUAGGCGUACCCGUCGUCUCAAGGGUUGGUGAUGGGAAAAAUGGUUAUGGUUGGGACUGAGGUCAAGGAAUAAGGCCUUACCCACCCGAUGAUCAAUACAAAUAUGAGAUGCUACAGUAACACUUUUAAGCUUAAACCAAAAAUUUUCCUUUGUAAAAAUACUUGUUUCGCAACAUAUUAAUUUUUUUAAAUCAAAUUGGUGAGGUUUAAGAAGAUUCACAUAUGAUUAUAAAUCAUUUCGGGUCAUUAGGUACAUAUAGAGACAUCCAAAUUAUAAAACAAGUGUUUGAAGUUCUUUUACUUAAAUCAAGGUCUUUUGGCUUGAGAAGGAUAGGAGUUUUACAAUAGCUUAAAAAUUAAAAUAAUUAAAUAAAAUUAUUGAAAUAAGAUAAAUAAUUUUGAAGGCUUUGAAAUCAUUUAGAAACUUUUUGUAGGUGACCAAAGGCUUCUAAGGUCAAGUAUGAGCUCCAGGCCGCUCAAAACAACCAAAAUAGUGCAAGGGACCGUGCUUAAGGGCUAGGUAUCAUACUUUUUAUUACCCAUUUUUUUAUGAGAAACAUACAAGUUCAUUAUUUUUUCUCUCCAAUUAAAUCUUAUGGCUCAUAGUUUAACUUAUGUUAAAAACAAACCUUUGUUGACUUAUCUCAAAUUCAAUUUGUGUUACAAGUUAAAAGAACCUAAUAUCAUGACAUAUUUAAAUUUUAGCUCAAGUACCUAACACUUUUAUUUUCAUCAAAUGAUUUAUAUUCACAAUAAAAUUUCAUUAUUAAUAUUUUAAAACUUUUUCACCCUUAGCAAAUACUAGAAAAAUGAGAUUCAAAUACUUUGGUACCAUCUAGAACACACAAAGAGCAUGAUACAUGCACGAAUGGACUGAAAUUUAUUAAAUUUCAUUCAUCGAAGCUACUAAUUUCAAGUUUGAAAAAUCAAUCGACUUGCGAAGACUUUUUGGAUGGGAUCCAAAAAUUUUUAGGUUGAGAUGUCUUUAUAGAGUUUGAAGAUCUAUCCCUUAGCCUCAAAACACACUUUAAAUCUGAUGCGAGUCUCAAGGCCCAAUUUCAAGCUUAUGGAUGUGAAGGGCUUAUGUUACCUCAAGGCCCAAUAAUAAGAUCAAAGGCCAAGCAAAUCAAACUAAGAUUCAAUUAAAGACAAUACGUGAGGAUGAAUCUUUUCGAGGAGAGGGGGAAUGAUACAUGCACGGAAUGUGUGAAAUUUAUUAAAGUCAAUCCAAACAAACUACCAAUUUUCAAUUUGAAAAGAUUAGUCAACUUGGGACAAUUUUUUGGAAUUUUUGGCUAAGAUCCAAACAUUUAUGGGCUUAGAUGUCUGAAUAGUGGUUGAAGAGCUAUCUCUUAGCUUCAAAACACACUUUGAAUCACUCGAUUUUGAGUUUGGAAGCUCAAGUUAUGACAGUUUUAGUGAAGACUGCGUGAACAAAAUUUCUAGAUGAGGAUAAUACAGAAAUUAUGAGUUUUAGGCUUUUUAUUCAAGUUUAAAUCAUAUUGGGUUUGAGUUUCAGGCUUAAUUUUUAUUAUACACGAGACAAAUAUUGUAUUUAUUAAGUUUUAUUAUUUAUUUAUGUUGAGUUUUGGAUAAUUUGAAGUAUUAUAAGUUAUUUAAGAGUUUUAUGUCAACAAUAAAGUUUAGUUUAAAACUACUUCUUGUCUAGGUUAAUUAGAGUUUCAGUAUACUUAAGAGUUUUAUUUGGUUUUAUUUAUCUAGCCUAUAUAAAGGUCUCUUCAUUGUAAAAAAUUAUUCAAAAAUCAAUUCAUUCAUUAUUCACUUUGAGUUAAUAAGAUUCUUUUUGAGUUUUCUAUUUAAGAAUUUCUCUUGAGUUCUCUUUUAGAAAAGUUUUAACAAUCUUCUCAAUUUGUGAGGAUCAUCUUCAAGCUUUUUCUUUCUAAGUUUUAUUUCUUUAAGGGAAAAUUAGAGUCAUUCGAAAGGAGUUGUGGAUUCAUCGGGUUUCCAAGGCUCAUUAGAACUUCUACACGCCAUCUUCAUCUUUUCCAUCUAUCUACUUUAUUCUAUUUUGUUCCUAUUUAAUUAUUCAAAAUUUUUAUUUAUUUAAUUUUUCUAUCUUAAUUAUCUAUUUUAAUUUCUUCCUUUAAUUUUUAAAUUUUUAGAUUUGACUUGGAUUUGUUUAUGUUUCAAGUUGUGACAAAAUCCAAGUUUCUCUCCGAUCGUCUAGAGCCCAAAGUCAAAUAUGCGACUUGCACAAAACAUACAAUCCUGUUCCGCACUAAUUCAUAUCAUUUGGUAUAUUGCUUCUUUUAAUUUGUUUAAAUCUAACUUGAAUUUUUUUUGCAUUUCAGGUUGUGUCAAAAUCCAAGUUUCUUUCUGAUCAUCUAGAGCCCUAAGCCAAAUCCAUGACUUCGACAAACUUACGAUCCUAAUCUAUUCUUGUCCCUAUCAUAAUCACUCGAUUUUGAGUUUGGCAUCUCAAUUUAUGGCUGUUUUAGUAAAGACUGUGUGAGAAGAAUUUUUGGAUGGGACCAUUACAAAAAUUACGAGUUUUGGGCUUUUAAUUCAAGUUCAAAUCAUAUUGGAUUCACUAAAAUGGUCAUAACUUGAGCUCCUAAACUCAAAAUUAAGAGAUUCAAAGUGUAUUUCAAACCUAAGAGAUAGAUCUUUGAACUCUAUUGAUGUGAAUCGGCUCAAUAGGUUAAGUUGAGUCAUCUUAAUUGCCCAAUCGUCGACGAGGAAGUAUCGCUCUAAAAAUAAUAGUUGGUUUGUAAUCGGCUAAAUAUGAAGUAAAGUGAUGGAAAAGGUUCAAAAAUAGGUUAAGUUUGAUAUGGAUAGGUUCGGCUAACAAUAAAAUUUGAUAGAUAAUUUGAUGGAUAGAUGAAAUGGAAAUUCAAACUUAAGCGUCAAAAAUGAUCCAACACUAUAGAGGGUGUCGUCCCAAGACCUAUAUUGCUUAAGGUGAUUGAUGGAAAUAGAAGGAUAGACCUCGACUCGUUACUUAGCAAAGUAGGAAUCCAAGGUAUAAAAAGAUGGACGAACGCCACACCAGGAUUAGUGAUAAGUUUGGAAGGAGUUCGGUUGACGCCACUAGCACGCUAGAUAAGUCAAUUCGAGACUCACACGAAAUAUGAGAGAGAGAACCUCACAAGAGCAAUAGUUCAUUAAUAAAUUUGACAAAUAGUUCAUUUACAAUGAAAAUAAACAACUAUUUAUAGCCUAUGCACUAGCUAGCCGAAUGGUCACAAAUAAGUCUUUAAAAACUAAGUAAAAUUCAGCUAGAAUAAGCUGGAAAAUUCCAGAAUAAAAACCAUUAAAAUCCAUAGCAAGAUUCAGCUGAAUGGAGUCCAAAAGACAGCUUCUAGAAUGGGCAAAUGAACCUGGAAAGAUCAAUGGCGCAUGGCAACAGCUAGGUUCGGCCAAUUGAGCUCAUUAAAAUGCAAUUCUUGGCUGAAAAGAUACCAGCAUUAAAGGAGGACGUGGACAGCCUUGAAAGUGUGAAAAAUCAGCUUCUAGAUUGAGCAAUAAACUUGGAAAGAUGAAUGCUUGAGGGAGGCUAAUGGCCAUGUCCAUAUUCAGCCACUUGGGACGCCAAUGGGCAGCUUAAUGAUGAAGAAAAAUUCAGCUGGAUGAACUUGGCUGUAGGGAGGUGAAUGGCUUUGUCUAAAUUUGGCCAAAGCUUGAAAGACACCUCCAAUAGAUGCCUCUUGGUCGAAUGGUCACCUAGGAGAUUCAAAGGAUCAGGAAAAUUCAUGUAGCUAGACAUGCAUGCAUUCUUUCAUUCAUUGUAACUUGCUCUUCAUGCAUUUAGCUCCUUCAUUAAUGUGUUUUUUUUAUUUUGGUAGCCACUCCUUGGCCGAAUAGGUGCUUGGGGAAGUUAACAAUCAGCUCAAGAUUCUUUGAAGAUGGCCAUGCAUGUACCGUCCAAUUCAUUGAACCUAAUAUGCAUGAAUCUUGAUUAAAUGCACCCCAAAUUCGACUCACCUACAAGAACAAAUGAACCAAAAUUAAUUCACAUAAAAUUCCGCUGAACAUGCAUUAAUAUAAUUUUAGACACACUAAUUAACAUAAUAAUUAACUUAUGACAAAUUUAUUAUUAUCUUAACAAGACAAAUUAAAUUCGGCAUUGACUAAGACAUAACAAAAACUUGUAAUAGCUAAGAACAUAUUAAUGAGCUGUAAUAAUACUUUCUAAUUUAUUUUAAAUAAUUAAUUUAUUCCAGCAAGUAAAUUUAGAGAGCUAAAAAAAUCUAAUAACGAGCUCAAUGAGCUGAAUUGAGCUCGUGUGAGCUAACUUGAGCUCGAAUGAACUGAACCACAUGGAAAGUAGUUUGAUUGAGCUGAAAAUGAGCUUCUCGAGCUUUGUUUGAGCUGGGUCGAGCUUGCAAGGAUGGCGAGCCUCGUUUUGUAAGCUGAACCAUGGGCAUUCCUGGCCGAGAUCGUAUCAAUCCCCCAUCUUCAGAAUGACUUGUCCUCAAGUCGAGCUGUUGGUUCACUCAAUCAUAGCUCCUCUUAUAGGGCUUUCUUUGGACGAAUGGGGUGAAUGUCAAAUGAGUCAUCUGAAAUUUAUAGCCAUGAGUUAGCAAGAAGCAAUGCAAACAAAUUUGCAGUCCGAGCAUAAUCAAAACAAGUAUAAUGCAUGCGAAUGGACAGAUGCAAAUCACCAUGUUUACAAUAAGGCAAACAAACUAAUUUACUUGCCGAUGCCUCGUCAAAUGUUCAAUACAAAUAUGGACAUGUUUUAAGGCAUUUAAAUGUCUCAAAUUGUUUCCACAAGUCAUGAUUAAAUCGCGAGUAAUAAAUCGAAUGGUAGACGUAAUUGUCACAAGUAGGUAUUUGAAAAGAUUCGCACAGUCCACGGAGUUGCACAAUCGUACCGUGCAUUAGACGAUUGACUAUAGAUUCACUCACACAUGCAUCAUAAAAGUUAUCAGAAACAAGAAUCUUUUUAUCAACCACCAAAGUAGAUAGAUCAUUAAUGAACAAGAUAGAACAGUCAAGCAAGUCGCGAUCUAAGUGAUUUACAAGAACCAAAGAAACAACACGAUUUUUGUCACCACCCGAAGAGAACAAGGGUGUUUCAAAAAGUUCAGUGGUCUUACCUUUUAAAGUAGGAAAACAAAGAUCGAUUUUACCUUGUUCGAUCAACACAAAUCUUCGCUCCUCAAGGGUAUAGUGUAGUCGAAGCUUCGUGGUUGUGUUGACCUUUGUCAAAUGGAAUGCAAACUUCAUGUACAACCAUAGAAAUUGUUUAAGGCACGAAUACAAAUUGAAAACAAAUUUGGCAAAUUUCGUUACCUUAUUUAAAAACCAAGUAGCAAAACAAUAGAAAUUAUUCGCACAAAAUUUAAGAUGCUUGAUUUUUUCACAAAUCGAACCCAAACAAAUUCCCGGUUUAAACAUGCGAGUUUGAUUACUUAUGCAGAAAUGUAGCAAAGGUUUCAUUAAGUCAAACACACUAAACCAACAGGAUUCGUGUGUCCACAGAAACAAACAUUCAAAACUCUUUACUUCUUUCAAACUAGAUUUGCAAAAACUUGAGGAUUUCAAACAAGGUAGUAAAUGGUUCACAUAAUCACCACAAUUAAUUAAAUUGAGAUGUUUAUAUGGAAAUUCAUUGUUACGCAGAAUCGAGUUUCGCAUUUGCCGAUUAAACACGACUUCACCUUUAAACUUGUCAACGCAAAGAUUUGUUUUGGAAAAGCUCAUCUCACCACCAUUUGAGAUUUCAACAAUAAUCGAUAAAGGAAAAUCAACCAUUUUUGGCACGAAACAUUUACAAAGAUGAAGUCUUUGACAUUAUAUUUACCCACAUUCAAGGAAGAUAGUGGAAAUUCAACUGCUAGGUGUUCCUUACCUAUCUUACCUUCGGGCUCGUGUGGUUCGAUUUCAUCUUCAUCCUUACCUUUUUCGGUCAUGCGAAAAUGUCGCUCGUCAGGAAGGUAUUGAAGUUGAAAAUUAUCGUCACUCAGCCUUUCGAAGACCUAAAAAGAAGGAACAAAUCAAAAGCAAACAUCACGGGGGUUAGUUAAAAUUUCGUUCUCUUUUUCUUGUUCUCGCUCACUAUCUUCAUAUUCUUUCAUUUCUUUUUCAAUAUCUUUUUCUUUUCCAAUUUUUUCUCAAUCUCAAUUUCUUUUUCAAUUUUCUUUUCUUCGUUUUCUUUUUCUCUCACUUUUUCGAUUUCUUUUUCUUUUGAAUUUCUUUUUCUUUUUCGUUUUCUAUUUCUAUUUCUUUUUCACUUUCUAUUUCUUUUUAUUUUUCUUUUUCUUCAUUUUUGUUUUUAUUACAACAUGAGGAUGAUACAAAAGAAUCAAAAAGAUAAUCAUUUGGCUCAAAGAAAGAGAAAAUAUUUUCGUAGGCUUCUCGUACAUUUCUUCGAGAAAAAUCCUUCGGGAAGGACUUUUUUGAUACAUAUAACUAUUGUUUUCUCAUUCGUCAUGUCGAAAAGUUGGAAGCUCGAAGCUGUCGCGUCUUGAAUUCCUUGACGAAUAGGAAUCCCGAUAAGAAUCUCUUAGUGAGUAGUCUUUGGACGUGUAUCACCUUGAUGAUCUCAACUUCGUGUCUCGACUUGGUGGAUUUUAUUUCCGUCGGGCCUUUUCCUCCACUUGAUCCAACCGUCUUUGUAAUGGACUUAGUUUUUCCUCUAACAUUCGGCCCAUCUCGUUCACCAAGUAUUGAAAUUCAUCGGUGGAGAAUUCUUCUCGAGACAUGAUUAUUCACUGAAAGAAGAAAUGUUAAAAGAAUAAUAACAGAAAAUUAGAUACCUCACCAUAAAAUCUCGCAAGUCACUCGGAAAGAAAAUUUCACUCCACUCAUGUUUACGCUCGUUUUGGCUUUUAUUCUCUCGAAUGAAUUCACGCUCUCUUUCCUUUUACCGCUCGUCUCACUCUCUUAAAUUCGUAUUUCGUUUCAAGUAAACUUAUUGCGGCUUAGAGGGUCAGCUUCAAAAUGGUUAAAUAGGGAUAAAAUGAAUGGGGUGGGAUAGGCUGAACAAAGAAAAUAAAACCAAAGUAUGUGUGGCGUUUUGGGGGAAGAAGGAAUGGUAGAAUGAAUGGAUGAUCGGGAAUAACAAGAAAUGAAAACAAAAUAAAACUCGUAAGACUCUCACUUCUUUCUUCUUUUUUUUAAUACUUGUAAUUUUUUUCUCUUUUUUUUGAAUUUUCAUAAUUCCUUUUUUUUACUCUUCAAUUACAAUAUGCUGAAAUACAAAGAAAGAAAAAAAAUUAAAUUACAACUUGAAUUUUUUUCACUUUUUUUACGUUACGAACCUACUUUCGGGCUUGAUACGAACGUCGACACUCAUCGUUUUAGUAGCUCUAAUACCAAAUGAUGCGAACCAGCUCAGUAGGUUGAGUCGAGUCGUCUUAAUUGCCCGAUCGUCGAUGAGGAAGUAUCGCUCCAAAAUAAUAGUUGGUUUGUAAUCGGCUAAAUAUGAAGUAAAGUGAUGGAAAAGGUUCAAAAAUAGGUUAAGUUUGAUAUGGAUAGGUUCGACUAACAAUAAAAUUUGAUAGAUAAUUUGAUGGAUAGAUGAAAUGGAAAUUUGAACUUAUGCGUCAAGAAUGAUCCAACACUAUAGAGGGUGUCGUCCCAAGACUUAUAUUGCUUAAGGUGAUUGAUGGAAAUAGAAGGAUAGACCUCGACCCGUUACUUAGCAAAGUAGGAAUCCAAGGUAUAAAAAGAUGGACGAACGCCACACCAGGAUUAGUGAUAAGUUUGGAAGGAGUUCGGUUGACGCCACUAGCACGCUAGAUAAGUCAAUUUGAGACUCACACGAAAUAUGAGAGAGAGAACCUCACAAGAGCAAUAGUUCAUUUAUAAAUUUGGCAAAAAGUUCUUUUAUAAUGAAAAUAAACAACUAUUUAUAGCCUAUGAACUAGGUAGCCGAAUGUUCACAAAUAAGUCUUUAAAAACUAAGUAAAAUUCAGCUAGAAUAAGCUGGAAAAUUCCAGAGUAAAAACCAUUAAAAUCCUUAGCAAGAUUUGGCUGAAUGGAGUCUAAAGGACAGCUUCUAGAAUGGGCAAAUGAACCUGGAAAGAUCAAUGGCGCAUGGUAAUAGCUAGGUUCGGCCAAUUGAUCUCAUUAAAAUGCAAUUCUUGGCUGAAAAGAUACCAGCAUUAAAGGAGGACGUGAACAGCCUUGAAAGUGUGAAAAGUCAGCUUCUAGAUUGAGAAAUAAAAUUGGAAAGAUGAAUGCUUGAGAGAGGCUAAUGGCCAUGUCCAUAUUCAGCCACUUGGGACGGUAAUGGGCAGCUUAAUGAUGAGGAAAAAUUUAGCUGGAUGAAUUUGGCUAUAGGGAGGCGAAUGGCUUUGUCUAAAUUUGGCCAAAGCUUGAAGGGCACCUCCAAUAGAUGCCUCUUGGUCGAAUGGUCACCUAGGAUGUAACAGCCCGAUUCUUGGCCUAGUCGGAAUAGUGGUUUCGGAACCACAAAUCUGACAAGGGAAAAUAUGGUUAUUAUUAUAUUUUUAUGGUCUACAAUUCCACGAAAAAAUUUCGUAAAAAUUUCGUUCGAAAAUUUCAACGUUUGGGCACUCAAUUUAGUCAAAAGGACUAAAUUGUAAAAAGUGCAAAAGUUGAGUUUUACAUGUAGAAGUGUCUAAUUGUUAUAAAAUUAUAAAUUUGGGGUCCUUAUGUGGUAAUUAGACUAUUAGUUAAUUGAUGGACAAAAAUAGACAUAAGAAAUGGGUGAAAUAGAUUUUUUUUAAAUGGGGGUAUUUUGGUCAUUUGGGAAUAAAAAGAAUAAAAAGGGAAAAAGAUGGCAAAAAUCAUCAUCUUCUCCAUAGUGAACGAAAUCAGCAAGGGGGAAGCCAUAUUUAGGGUUUUCAAGCUUCCAAGAUCCAUAGUAAGUGAUUUCAAGCCCCGUUUUUAAUGUUCUUCACAUUUUUGGAAUCCUCGUAGCUCGGUUUAGCUUAUUUUAUCAAUAAUUCAUGUUAGGGUUCAUAUUUGGAAAAAUACCCAUAGGUGAAAUGUGUUUGUUUUGCCGUUUUAUGGUGGAAUAUGAAGCUAGAAUUUAUGCUAAACAGCUUUUGCUAAGUGAUUUUAAGCAAAAACGAAUAAAUCGACAUAAUCGGUAAAAAUAUUUAUUGUUCAUAAGUGUAUGUUAGAGUGAGAAUUUGAUGUUGCCAUAGAAGGGAAAAGUGUUCAGCAUGUUGUAAAACAUAAGAACAAGGUGUGAAAUUUAAUUUUCGAGCUUGGGGACAAAGAUGUAAUUAUGCAAAAGUUUAGGGACAAAAUUGUAAUUUUUAUAAAAGUUGAGUCGAAGCUUGUUUUAUAAAUGUGAAUAGUAAACAAGCUCAAUUUUCUGUUAUAGAUCAAGAAAGACGAGAAAUCAACCUUAAUCGGGGAAAAGAGAAGAUUGAGGAUUAAAUUGCAAAAUCUUUACAUUUUGUAUCGAGGUAAUUUGUAUGUAAUUAAUACAUUGUUAUAAUUAUUUUUGUUAUAUUUCAUGACAAUAUACGUGAAAGGAUCGAUAUUAUAAUGAGUUUUGGACAAAUUGUAAAUAUAUUUGGACAGUAAGAAUCUUUGUGAAACUGUCGUAAUGGUAAAAAAAUUUGAAUAAGGAUAUCGAUGAACACGUGUGUAGUACUAUGUGAAGGCUACUACGUGUAUCGAUAAAUAAUGGUCACAUGUGUAGUACUAAGUGAAGGCUACUAUGUGUACUGAGAAGUUUUGAGCACGUGUGUAGUACUGUGUGAAAGUUACUACGUGUAUCGGUAAACUAUGGUUACAUGUGUGGUACUAAGUGAAGGCUACUAUGGAUACUGAAAAGCUUUGGUCACGUAUGUAGUACUAUGUGAAGGCUACUACGUGAGCCGUAAAACUUGAUCACGUGUGUAGUACUAUGUGAAGGCUACUACGUGAACUGUAAAACUGAUCUCGUGUGUUGUACUAUGUGAAGGCUACUACGUGUAUCGAAUGAUAAAAAUAAUAUGAGUAGUACUGUGUGAAAAGCUCCGAAUAUUAUUUUUUUAUACCGUCAUGAUGAUGAAAUAUGAGUAUGUGAUUGGAAUGUGAUAAGUUGUGAAAAGUCAUUGAAGUGAUGAAGUUUGAGUUGUGUUAUAAAAUAAAUGGUUAUAGUGCUAUGUGAAUAAGGAAUGUUGGAAUAGAAUAGAUUUGGACAGUGACGGUGAUGUUAGUUUGAAAAAUCACCAAAAAUUUUAGAAAUCGAGUUAGAGGCUGAACUAUAAAUGAAAUUUAAGCUGAAUGAGUCUAUUUUCAUAUGGAAGAAACAGAGUAAGCAAAGGAGUUGUAUAUUGGGGGAUAUUUAAAUUUUAUUGAGACAGGGUUGGAUUAAUUUCGAAAUCCCCUUUUCCAAAUUUGGAAAAUCACCAAAAAUUAUAAAAAAAUAAUUAUGGCUUGAAAUUUACAUUUUUGAAUUCCUUAAUGAGUCUAUUUUUAAGAGAAAUAAAUUAGAACAUUUUUUGAAUUUUGUACAAAGAGUUAAAUAAAUUUUAGUAUGGAGAGGUCAGAACUGUAAGGCAGUGAAAUAGGGGAAGGUUUAAAGAAUAAACUCUACUAAUUUGAUGAACCAAAAAUUAUGAAAAUUUUAUGGUGGAAAUUUAUAUGAGUAUAGUUUUAGGGAAAAUUUUCAAAUCUUAAUUUGGAGUUCUGUAGCUCCGGAUAAAAAUAAUUUAGCGACUAUGAUGCAGAAAAAUAGUUUGCUGGAAAUUGAAUAAAUGAUAGAUUUAUGUGUGAUAGAAAUUUUAUUAUAUAUGAUAUUAUUCUAGAAAUUUAUUUAUCGAUUACAUACAUACUUUCUAAGCUGUAAGCUUACUCCUAUUUAUUUUUCUUUUUUUUAUAGUGAUAUUAAUCAGCUCGGGAAUUGGACGGAGUCAGGACAUCAUCCUCACUAUCAUCAUCAUCUUUUGGGUAUUUUGCAACCAAUACUUUUGAAAAAGGGCAUGUAUAGAUGACUUUAUGUAAUGUGGUAUAAAUAUGUAUAUAUAUAGUAUUGUUCAGUUAAAUAUGUUGGAGUUUAUUAAUGGAUAAAUUAUGUUUGAAUAUAUAUAACUAUAAUUGGUUGAAAAUAUUGAAGUUGGUUGAAAUUGUCUUUGGAAAUCUGCAGGGGGUUUUAUGUAAAAAUAAGCAGAAAUGCUGCCGAAAUUUUUAUAAAAAAAUUUAAGUGUUUGAGUUCUAGUAAUAUCUAAUACUCUGUUUCGGUAAGGAACACGGGUAAGGGGUGUUACAUUUUAGUGGUAUUAGAGCUAUUGUUUAGCCAGUUCUCGGAUUAGUAUAAUGUGCGUAAAAGUCUAUCUAUACAUGCCAUUUAAGUAUUGUGAUAGUGAGAUGAUUUCUGACAAUUUAAAAUUUUGUUUUAUAUAGUAAAUGGAUCUUGACUGAAGUGUCGCAGAUAAUGUUGAAAGUAACGCGCCUGCUCCCGCACAAGGGAUCGCGCAUGAAGAAAGUAGACCUGAGACACAUAGUCAGGAUGAGGCUAGGGAAACUUUCCUUCGAAUGAUGAGUAAUUGGUAUACAGAAUUUGUUCGUGCAAAUCCGAAUGUUCAACCCCCUCCACCCCCUCCUAUUCCUCAACCGGUUCCCGCAGCUCCACAAAAUGUUGACUUGGUAAGAUCAAGUAGGCCUCCCAUUGACAAAAUCCGAAAGCAUGAAGCUGAAGAUUUCAGAGCUAAUAUAGAUGAUGACCCACAGAAGGCAGAGUUUUGGCUUGAAAAUUCCAUUCGGGUAUUUGAUGAAUUGUCUUGUACUCUCGAAGAAUGUUUAAUAUGUGUAAUAUCUUUGUUAAAAGAUUCAGCUUAUCGUUGGUGGAAAACAUUGGUAUUUGUGGUUCCGAAAGAAAGGGUUAUGUGGGAAUUCUUCCAAGAUGAAUUUAGAAAAAAAUACAUAAGCCAAUGGUUCAUCGAUAAAAAACGCAAGGAAUUUCUCGAGUUGAAGCAGUGCCAAAUGUCUGUGGCUGAGUAUGAAAGAGAGUUUGUUAGAUUGAGUAAAUAUGCUCAAGAAUGUGUACCCACCGAAGCUGCUAUGUGUAAAAGGUUUGAAGAUGGUUUAGAUGAAGACAUUAGAAUAUUUGUUGGGAUGUUGGAACUGAAGGAAUUUGUAGUAUUGGUUGAUCAAGCUUGUAAGGCUGAAGAAUUGAAUAAAGAAAAGAGAAAAGCUGCGAUGGAGGCUCGAGAUACAAGAAAGCGGCCUAUGAGUAAACCAUUUCAAACUCAGUCAAAGAAGUCUAAAGAGAUGAAUCCUAAAGUGAGUGCUUCAACUGGAUAUCCACGUCGAGACCGGGGAAAAUUGUAUUUGGGUUCCGAAGCUCAAGCUACAUCGGUAUCAAGUGUGGGUAGUAUGAAGCCUAGUAGACCGGAGUGUCAGCAUUGUGGAAGACAACAUCCUGGCGAAUGCUGGUUAAUUAGCCGGGCUUGUUUCAAGUGUGGUUCUCGACAACAUUAUAUUAAAGAUUGCCCUGAGAAAAUUGAAGAAGAAAAAUUUCAGAAUGUUAGAUCGAGUGAUACUGUCAGCAGAGGUAGACCGUCGAGAAACACCGGAACUAGAGAUAGUGGUAAAAGUGGAAUGAAGGGUACAGCUACAAAAUCAGAACCUCGAACACCUGCUAGAGCUUAUGCUAUAUGUGCUCGUGAGGAUGCAUCAUCUCCCGAUGUAAUUACUGGUACAUUUUCUCUUUAUGAUAUUGAUGUUGUUGCUUUGAUUGACCCUGGGUCUACUCAUUCAUAUGUAUGUGUGAAUUUAGUAUCUAAUAAAAAUUUGUCUGUUGAAAACACUGAAUUUGUUGUAAAAGUAUCAAACCCUUUAGGCAAAUAUGUUUUAGUUGAUAAGGUUUGCAAGAAUUGUCCUUUGACGAUUCAAGGUUACUGUUUCCCGGCUAAUCUGAUGCUCUUACCAUUUGAUGAGUUCGAUGUUAUAUUGGGGAUGGAUUGGUUGAUUUUGCAUGAUGCCAAGGUAAAUUGUAGACAGAAAAUCCUUGAAUUGAAAUGUGGAAAUUGUGAAACUCUUCGGGUUGAAGCGGAGAAGCUGAAUAAACUGCCUAGGGUGAUUUCGCAUAUGUCUGCUCAGAAGUAUAUGAGAAAAGGAUGUGAAGCUUAUCUUUCUUAUGUGUUGAAUACUGGUAUAAUUGGGUCGAAGCUUGAAUCAGUGUCGGUAGUCUCUGAAUUUCUAGAUGUAUUUCCAGAGGAAUUUCCUGGGUUACCUCCGAUUAGAUAAGUUGAGUUCGCUAUCGAUUUAUUACCUAGUACCGCACCGAUUUCUAUUACUCCAUAUCGGAUGGCUCCGACUGAAUUGAAAGAAUUAAAGGCUCAGUUGCAAGAAUUGACGGAUAAAGGGUUUGUGAGACCGAGUUUUUCUCCUUAGGGUGCUCCUGUAUUAUUUGUGAAGAAGAAAGAUUGUUCUAUGAGACUUUGUAUUGAUUACCGUCAGCUCAACAAAGUGACUAUAAAGAACAAGUAUCCCUUGCCGAGAAUUGAUGAUUUGUUUGACCAACUAAAAGAGCGACAGUGUUUUCAAAGAUUGAUUUAAGAUCUGGUUACUAUCAGUUGAGAGUUAGGGAGUCAGAUGUACCAAAGACUGCUUUCAGAACGAGGUAUGGACACUACGAAUUUUUGGUAAUUCCUUUUGGUUUAACUAAUGCUCUGGCUAUUUUUAUGGAUUUGAUGAAUCGAAUUUUCCGAUCGUAUCUGGAUAAGUUUGUGGUGGUGUUCAUAGGUGAUAUUUUAAUUUAUUCUUGGGAUGAAUCCGAGCAUGCAGAACAUUUGAGAACUGUGUUGCAGAUUCUGAGGGAGAAGAAAUUGUAUGCUAAAUUCAGCAAAAGUGAGUUUUGGCUUCUUGAAGUUGGAUUCUUGGGACAUAUAGUUUCAAGUGACGGUAUUCGGGUUGAUCCAAACAAAGUUUCAGCACUUGUUGAUUGGGAACCACCAAAGAAUGUAUUCGAAGUUAGAAGCUUUCUGGGCUUAGCCAGGUAUUACAGACGCUUUGUCAAGGGAUUCUCUAUGAUUGCUUCUCCUAUGACCAAGUUAUUGCAAAAGAAUGUCAAGUUUGAAUGGAUCGAUAAAUGUCAACAAAGUUUUGAGAAAUUGAAGGCUUUAUUGACAGAGGCACCAGUGUUGGUACAAUCCGAGUCAGGGAAGGAGUUUGUAGUUUACAGUGAUGCAUCAUUGAAUGGUCUUGGAUGUGUGUUAAUGCAAGAGGGCAAAGUAAUAGCUUAUGCUUCGAGACAGCUGAAACCGCAUGAGAAGAAUUAUCCAACGCAUGAUUUAGAGUUGGCUGUCAUUGUUUUUGCUUUAAAAAUUUGGCGCCAUUACUUGUAUGGUGAGAAGUGCCGAAUCUUCACUGAUCAUAAGAGCUUGAAAUAUUUAAUGAAUCAAAAAGACUUGAAUUUGCGACAAAGAAGAUGGCUUGAGCUAAUAAAAGAUUAUGAGCUAGUGAUUGAUUAUCAUCCUGGAAAAGUUAAUGUGGUUGCUGAUGCCUUGAGCAGAAAAUCUUUAUUUGCUUUGAGAGCUAUGAAUUCGAGAUUAACUUUAUCUGAUGAUGGUUCAAUUUUGGCUGAAUUGAGGGCUAGACUGUUAUUUCUUCAGCAAAUUCGGGAAGCUUAAAAGAAUAACAGUAAAUUGCAAGCCAGGAAGGCUCAGUGCGAAGCAGGUGUUGACUCAGAUUUUUGAAUUAGAUCGGAUGAUUGUCUGAUGUUCCGGGACAGGGUAUGUAUACUGAGAAAUGAUGAGUUAAUUCGGACAAUUUUAUGUGAGGCACACAGUGGUGAUUUGUCAGUUCACCCAGGUAGUGUGAAAAUGUAUAAUGAUUUGAAGAAAUUGUAUUGGUGGCCGGGCAUGAAAAAGGAUAUCUCUGAAUUUGUAUCAAAGUGUUUAAUUUGCCAACAAGUGAAAGCUGAGCAUCAAGUACCAUCGGGUUUACUCCAACCGGUAAUGAUUCCAGAGUGGAAAUGGUACAGCAUCACGAUGGAUUUUGUGACAGGAUUACCUCUAUCUCCAAUGAAGAAGGAUGCUAUUUGGGUGAUCGUUGAUAGAUUGACAAAGUCGGCUCAUUUUAUACCGGUACGCAUAGAUUACUCACUUGAUAGGUUGGCGGAGCUAUAUGUUGCUGAAAUUGUGAGAUUGCACGGGGUGCCUUAGUCCAUUAUAUCGGAUAGAGAUCCGAGGUUUACUUCGAGGUUUUGGAUAAAGUUACAAGAGGCCCUGGGUACAAAAUUGAACUUUAGUACUACAUUCCAUCCGCAAACCGACGGACAAUCUGAAAGAGUGAUUCAAGUUCUUGAAGACAUGCUCCGAUGCUGUAUUCUAGAAUUUGAAGGCAGUUGGGAGAAAUAUAUACCAUUGGUUGAAUUUGCUUACAACAAUAGUUAUCAGUCGAGUAUACGAAUGACACCGUAGGAAGCAUUAUAUGGACGUAAGUGUAGAACACCUUUGUAUUGGACUGAGCUCAGUGAGAAUCAGAUUCACGGAGUUGAUUUGGUGAAGGAAACUGAAGAAAAUGUGAAAGUAAUUCGUGACUGCUUAAAGGCUGCUUCAGAUCGACAAAAGUCAUAUGCGGAUUUAAAGAGAAAAGAAAUUGAGUUUCAAGUGGGUGAUAAAUUGUUCUUAAAAGUAUCUCCGUGGAAGAAGAUUUUGAGAUUUAGCCGUAAAGGCAAAUUAAGUCCACGUUUUAUUGGACCGUAUGAAGUUAUUGAAAGGAUUGGACCCGUAGCUUAUCGGUUAGCCUUGCCAGCAGAGUUGGAAAGAAUACAUAAUGUAUUUCAUGUAUCGAUGUUGCGACGCUAUCGUUCAGAUCCUUCACAUAUAGUUUCUCCUACAGAGAUUGAAGUUCGACCAGAUAUGACUUAUGAGGAGGAACCAAUAAUGAUUUUAGCUCGAGAGGUCAAACAAUUAAGGAAUAAGAGUGUAGCUUUAGUAAAAGUGUUGUGGAAAAAACAUGGGAUGGAAGAGGCUACGUGGGAACCGGAGGAAGCUAUGAGGAAAAACUACCCAAACCUCUUUUCCGGUAAGAUUUUCGAGGACGAAAAUCCCUAAGGGGGGAGAAUUGUAACAGCCCGAUUCUGGGCCUAGUCGGAACAGUGCUUUCGGAACCACAAAUCUGACAAAGGAAAAUAUGGUUAUUAUUAUAUUUUUAUGGUCUACAAUUUCGCGAAAAAAUUUCAUAAAAAUUUCGUUCGAAAAUUUCGACGUUUGGGCACUCAAUUUAGUCAAAAGGACUAAAUUGUAAAAAGUGCAAAAGUUGAGUUUUACAUGUUAGAAGUGUCUAAUUGUUAUAAAAUUAUAAAUUGGAGGUCCUUAUGUGGUAAUUAGAAUAUUAGUUAAUUGAUGGACAAAAAUAGAUAUAAGAAAUGGGUGAAAUAGAUUUUUUUAAAUGGGGGUAUUUUGGUCAUUUGGUAAUAAAAAGAAUAAAAAUGGAAAAAGAUGACAAAAAUCAUCAUCUUCUCCUUAGUGAACGAAAUCAGCAAGGGGGAAGCCAUAUUUAGGGUUUUCAAGCUUCCAAGAUCCAUAGUAAGUGAUUUCAAGUCCCGUUUUUAAUGUUCUUCGCAUUUUUAGAAUCCUCGUAGCUCGGUUUAGCUUAUUUUAUCAAUAAUUCAUGUUAGGGUUUAUAUUUGGAAAAAUACCCAUAGGUGAAAUGUGUUUAUUUUUCUAUUUUAUGGUGGAAUAUGAAGCUAGAAUUUAUGUUAAACAACUUUUGUCAGCGAUUUUAAGCAAAAACGAGUAAAUCGACAUAAUCGGUAAAAAUAUUUAUUGUUCAUAAGUGUAUGUUAGAGUGAGAAUUUGAUGUUGCCAUAGAAGGGAAAAGUGGUCAUCAUUUGUAAAACAGAAGAAUAAGGUGUGAAAUUUAAUUUUUGAGCUUGGGGACAAAGAUGUAAUUAUGCAAAAGUUUAGGGACAAAAUUGUAAUUUUUAUAAAAGUUGAGUCGAAGCUUGUUUUAAUAAAUGUGAAUAUUAAACAAGCUCAAUUUGCUAUUAUAGAUCAAGAAAGACUAGAAAUCAGCCUUAAUCGGGGAAAAGAGAAGAUUGAGGAUUAAAUUGCAAAAUCUUUACAUUUUGUAUCGAGGUAAGUUGUAUGUAAUUAAUACAUUGUUAUAAUUAUUUUUGUUAUAUUUCAUGACAAUAUAUGUGAAAGGAUCGAUAUUAUAAUGAGUUUUGGACAAAUUGUAAAUAUAUUUGGAAAGUAAGAAUCUUUGUGAAACUGUCGUAAUGCUAAAAAAAUUUGAAUAAGGAUAUCGAUGAACAAGUGUGUAGUACUGUGUGAAGGCUACUACGUGUAUCGAUAAAUAAUGGUCACAUGUGUAGUACUAAGUGAAGGCUACUAUGUGUACCGAGAAGUUUUGAGCACGUGUGUAGUACUGUGUGAAAGCUACUACGUGUAUCGGUAAACUAUGGUUACAUGUGUGGUACUAAGUGAAGGCUGCUAUGGAUACCGAAAAGCUUGGUCACGUAUGUAGUACUAUGUGAAGGCUACUACGUGAGCCAUAAAACUUGAUCACGUGUGUAGUACUAUGUGAAGGCUACUACGUGAACUGUAAAACUGAUCUCGUGUGUAGUACUAUGUGAAGGCUACUACGUGUAUCGAAUGAUAAAAAUAAUAUGAGUAGUACUGUGUGAAAAGCUCUGAAUAUUAUUUUUUUAUACUGUCAUGACGAUGAAAUAUGAGUAUGUGAUCAGAAUGUGAUAAGUUGUGAAAAGUGAUUGAAGUGAUGAAGUUUGAGUUGUGUUAUAAAAUAAAUGGUUAUAGUGCUAUGUGAAUAAGGAAUGUUGGAAUGGAACAGAUUUGGACAGUGACGGUGAUGUUAGUUUGAAAAAUCACCAAAAAUUAUAUAAAUUGAGUUAGAGGCUGAAUCAUAAAUGAAAUUUAAGCUGAAUGAGUCUAUUUUCAUAUGGAAGAAGCAGAGUAAGCAAAGGAGUUGUAUAUUGGGGGAUAUUUAAAUUUUAUUGAGACAUGUUGGAUUGAUUUCUAAAUCCCCUGUUCCAAAUUUGGAAAAUCAACAAAAAUUGUACAAAAAUAAUUAUGGCUUGAAAUAAACAUUCUUGAAUUCCUUAAUGAGUAUAUUUUUAAGAUAAAGAAAUGAGAACAUUUUUUGAAUUUUGUACAAAUAGUUAAAUAAAUUUUAGUAUGGGGAGGUCAGAACUGUAAGGCAAUGAAAUAGUGGAAGGUUUAAAGAAUAAACUGUACUAAUUGGAUGAACCAAAAAUUCUUAAAAUUUUAUGGUGGAAAGGUAUAUGAGUCUAGUUUCAGGGAAAAUUUACAGAUCUUAAUUUGGAGUUCCGUAGCUCCAGAUAAAAAUAAUUUAGCGACUGUGACGCAGAAAAAUAGUUUGCUGGAAAUUGAAUAAAUGAUAGAUUUAUGUGUGAUAGAAAUUUUAUUAUAUAUGAUAUUAUUCUAGAAAUUUAUUUAUCGAUUACAUACAUUCUUUCUAAUCUGUAAGCUUACUCCUCUUUAUUUUUCUUUUGUUUUAUAGUGAUAUUAAUCAGCUCAGGAAUUGGACGGAGUCAGAACAUCAUCCUCAUUAUCAUCAUCAUCUUUUGGGUAUUUUGCAACCAAUACUUUUGAAAAAUGGCAUAUAUUGAUGACUUUAUGUAAUGUGGUAUAAAUAUGUAUAUAUAUAGUAUUGUUCAGUUAAAUAUGUUGGAGUUUAUUAAUGGAUAAAUUAUGUUUGACUAUAUAUAACUGCAAUUGGUUGGAAAUAUUGAAGUUGGUUGAAAUUGUCUUUGGAAAUCUACAGGGGGUUUUAUGUAAAAAUAAGCAGAAAUGCUGCCGAAAUUUUUAUAAAAAAAAAAAUUUAAGUGUUUGAGUUCUAGUAAUACCUCAUACUCUGUUUCGGUAAGGAACACGGGUAAGGGGUGUUACAUUUUAGUGGUAUCAGAGCUAUGGUUUAGCCGGUUCUCGGAUUAGUAUAAUGUGUGUAAAAGUAUAUUUAUACAUGCCAUUUAAAUAUUGUGAUAGUGAGAUGAUUUCUGACAAUUUAAAAUUUUGUUUUAUAUAGUAAAUGGAUCCUGACUAAAGUGUGGUAGAUGAUGUUGAAAGUAAAGCGUCGGCUCCCGCACAAGGGACCGCGCAUGAAGAAAGUAGACAUGAGACACAUAGUCAGGAUGAGGCUCGGGAAACUUUCCUUCGAAUGAUGAGUAAUUGGUAUACAGAAUUUGUUCGUGCAAAUCCGAAUGUUCAACCCCCUCCACCCCCUCCUAUUCCUCAACCGGUUCCCGCAGCUCCACAAAAUGUUGACUUGGUAAGAUCAAGUAGGCCUCCCGUUGACAAAAUCCGAAAGCAUGAAGCUGAAGAUUUCAGAGCUAAUAUAGAUGAUGACCCACAGAAGACAGAGUUUUGGCUUGAAAAUUCCAUUUGGGUAUUUGAUGAAUUGUCUUGUACUCCCGAAGAAUGUUUAAAGUGUGUAAUAUAUUUGUUAAAAGAUUCAGGGGGUUUUAUUUAAAAAUAAGCAGAAAUGCUGCCGAAAUAUUUAUAAAAAAAAUUAAGUGUUUGAGUUCUAGUAAUACCUCAUACUCUGUUUCGGUAAGGAACACGGGUAAGGGGUGUUACAUAGGAGAUUCAAAGGAUCAGGAAAAUUCAUGUAACUAGACAUACAUGCAUUCUUGCAUUCAUUGUAACUUGCUCUUCAUGCAUUUAGCUCCUUCAUUAAUAUGUUUUUAUUUUGGUAGCCACUCCUUGGCCGAAUAGGUGCUUGGGGAAGUGAACAAUCAGCUCAAGAUUCUUUGAAGAUGGCCAUGCAUGUACUGUCCAAUUCAUUGAACCUAAUGUGCAUGAAUCUUGAUUAAAUGCACCCCAAAUUCGACUCACCUACAAGAACAAAUGAACCAAAAUUAAUUCACAUAAAAUUCAGCUGAACAUGCAUUAAUAUAAUUUUAGACACACUAAUUAACAUAAUAAUUAACUUAUGCCAAAUUUAUUAUUAUCUUAACAAGACAAAUUAAAUUCGGCAUUGACUAAGACAUAAUAAAAACUUGUAAUAGUUAAGAACAUAUUAAUAAGUUGUAAUAAUACUUUCUAAUUUAUUUUAAAUAAUUAAUUUAUUCCAGCAAGUAAAUUUAGUGAGCUAAAAAAAUCUAAAAACGAGCUCAAUAAGCUAAAUUGAGCUCGUGUGAGCUGACUUGAGCUCGAAUGAGCUGAACCACAUGGAAAGUAGUUUGAUUGAGCUGAAAAUGAGCUUCUCGAGCUUUGUUUGGGAUAGGUUGAGCUUUCAAGGAUGGCGAGCCUCGCUUUGUAAGCUGAACCACGGGCAUUCCUGGCCAGGAUUGUAUCAUCUAUGAAGACAUCUUAACCCAGAGAUACUUAGAUCCCAUUUAAAAAGUCAUCACAAGUCGGUUGAUUUUCCAAACUUGAUAAUUGAAAAUUUCGGGGAAUGGAAUUUAAUAAAUUUCAUUCCAUCUGUGCAUGUAUCAGAGCAAGUAAGUGAUUCACUCUAAGGCGACACAAUAUAUCUCUCCUAAAAACACCAAAAAGUAUCAAAAUUUUGUGCUCAAAGGCAACAUAUCACUUCCAUCCAAACACAUCAGAGAUCACCGAAGUGCUGAUCCCGAAGACAACAUAUCACAUCCCUCCAAAACACACUAGAAAGAACCAAGGUGUUAGGCCUAAAGGAAACAAAUCACAUUCUUAUUGGCAUGAAAAUUGUAUCGUAACAUUUUCACUAAGUUUACUAUGACUCAUUAUAAUAAAAGGCACCUAUCUUGUAACACCCUUCACUCGUCACUGUCAUUGGAUUAGGGUUAAAGAUGCUACGAUAAUUAAUAGGAGAAACACAUGCCAUUUCAAUUCAAAAUUUAUCUUUAAACUAACACCAAUAUAUAACUAGACAAUAAUUAAGCUAUUCAUGCAAAAACGAGGCUUAAAUCGAGGUUCUAAAACUCAAAAAUCAAUUCAGAAAUAAGAAGGGACUAAUUCGAAACAAAACAAAAAGUAAGGUAAAAAUAUAAAACAAGGGUCACAUGGCUGUGUAACAAGUUUGCCGUGUGUGCUAUGGGAUAUGGUCUUGUUGUUCAACUGUAUGUGAGGACUAAAACCGUGUGGAAGGAGACACACGACUGUGUCUUCCAACCGAACGACUAACUAUGGCCGUGUGUGCAAAAUGAAAACUAAAACUACACAGACCACAUAACCUUUCCAAGAACCCGUGUAUGGCACACAGCCGUGUUUCAGCCUGUGUGAGCUGCAAUGUACCUUCAAUAACAAGUCAAUCAUUUCAUGCUUACUUAAGCUACAAGUAUACCAUUUACCAAUCAUUCAACCUAUUCAAAUCACACCAAAAAAUUACUAAAACAUGCAAUUUGCCUAGUUCUAACCAAUAUGCCUUAGGGCACUGUCACAAGCAACAAUCCAAACUAACAUCCAGUGUCAUUUUCUAACCAAUUCAAGCUUGCCUAACAAUGUUAUACAAAAUGCCAAAUAUCACCAAUUCAUUCACACCCAACAAAACAUAUAUCAAAGUGUAUAUAUUGGCAUGUAUCCAACAACAACCAUACCAAUUCACCUAAUCAACUAAAACAUCUCAAAUCAACAAUCAAAGUACUAACCAUUAAACAAGUAACCAAAGACCAACUAAACAUAUAUGGCAUUCAAUAUUCCAUCAACCAUGAAAUUAACCAUUUAAACCCAUUUCAACUAUUUUAUCUUCACAUACCACAUCAACCAUAAUCAACCACAUCAUUAUAUUAACAAAUUCACAUGGCUAGGAAAUCUCAAACAUACUUUAAAUACAUCAAACACUUAUGUACAUAACUUCAGUCCUAUUGCAGUUCUAUUACAUGCCACAUAUCCCAAAAUAUAUGUUUUCAAAGUCUACAGAAAGAUAGCUGGAUAGUAUGAUCCUCAACUUGAUCCGAUUGCCUGAUUCCACAAAAUGAUAUCUACAAGAGAACAGGAAAAAAAACAACAUGAGUAAGCUUCAAGGAGCUUACUAAGUUCAUAGGUUGAAACAAUAUAAAUUACCUUGAAAACAUGUUUAAUAAUUAAAAAACUCUUUAACUAAUAUUAACUCUAUCAACCACAAGCAUUCAACAGGUGAGGUUCAUAUACAUGAGUCGUUUAAUCAUCCCAUUUGUACGAUAUCAAACAUUAUCAAGUCACAAUAUAAUAUCUAAAAUCAUGAAAAUUUAUACAAGUAAUUAAUAAGGCAUCAUAACCAAACAUCAAUUACAUAUCAUCACCAUGUCAUUUAACCAUUAAAAAUCUGCCUGAUGACCGAUAUAAACAGAUACGGAUACGCAGUUAUCCACCAAAGACACGCUAAAAUGCUCAACUAAGCCAAUCUAACCAAGAACACGCCUGGACACCAAGUGGCUAGCCCGUAGGCUAACAUCCCUCUAUAAACACAAUUGGGCACCAAAUUCCAAGCCCGUAGGGUAACACCCCUUACCCGAGACCGUUGCCGGAGUCGAGCAUGAGGCGUUACCUGACUUAACUUACUAGUUCGGAGCAUAAAAAAAGUUGCUUUUAAAAUUAAUUCACUCACAUUCAAUUAAUAUGUCCCUAAAAAGGAUCCUCGAGACCCUUAAACAUGCAAUAGAAAUGGUUCGGGUCCAAACUGAGACCAUUAAAAAUUUUCCGAUUACUUAAACAAAUCAAAAUAAUUUAUUUCACUAUUCACAAUAAAACUGUCCACCUGCACAGCAGUCACUAAAUUAAAUAUAACUCAAGUUAAAAAACUCAAAAUUUAGAUCGGUAAAUUUUAUCCAAAACUAGACUCAUAUACCUUAUUAUCAUAAAAUUUUCAGAAUUUUUGGGUUGGCCGAUUAGUACAGUUUAUUAGUUAAAGUCUCCCCUGUUUCAGUGUUUGACUGUCCUAACCUCUCAUCACUAAAAAAUAAUUAUCUCAUUUUAUAGUCUUCAUAUGGUGCUACCACUUGUUUCUACUGAAAAUAGACUCAAUAAGUAAUCAAAUCAUAUGAAUUAUAACUUCUAAUUAUUUCUGUAAAAUUUUUAAUGAUUUUCUAAAUUUAGAACAGGGGACUUCAGAAUCCAUUCUGACCCUGUCUCACUAAAAUUCAAAUAUCUCAUAAUAUAAAAUUCCUUUACAUGCACUGUUUCUUUAAUAUGAAAAUAGACUCAAUAAUAUUUAGUUAUAUAUCUUAUUAACUCUCUAAUUCCUUUCCUACUAAUUUUGAUGAUUUUUCAAAAUCACGUCACUGCUGCUGUUCAAAAACUGUAUCAUUGCAAAUUUUUACUCUUUUAUAAUUUUUUGGUAUUAACCAACAUUUAAACAUCCAUAAUACCAAACUUGUUUUUAAUUAGCCAUUUCAAUAGCAAAUCAUUAACCAUAUCAUAUGAACACGCUCAAAAUGACUAAGUCCCUAUACAUGCCAUAACUUUACACGUUUCAAAAUCACAUAAUACCGAGAUAUCUGUAGAUAGUGUGAGACAAACUCCGACGUCUUUGUGAUCCCCGAACUGACUUGGUGAUACUAUAAAAGAAGGAAGGAAAAUAAAGGAAGUAAUCAUAAAUCUUAGUAAGUUUACAAGUAAAUAAAUAACAACAUUUGUCACAAAUAAUUGUAUUCAUAAAUUAUCAUCAAGUCUCAUGAUCUUUACUUUCUUCUUUACUUACUCCCUUACUUGCUUGCUUAAACAACUCAUGGUUAUAACUUACUUCUUCCUCGCUGAAAUUUCUUUUCUCAACUGAUAACUGAGAUACUCUUAAUCUUUAUAACCCACCUUAACUUGUCUAUUAUGCUUUUACCUGAACUUUUAUGUAACAUAGUCUAUUUACUAGCCCGUUGAACCACUUGGAAUACUAAGGAUACUCGGGUCUCCUGUCUGAUAAUAACAUGCCAAAGCUAUGUCCCAAACAUAGUCUUACAUGGGAUGUUUCUUGUACUGCCAAUGCCAUAUCCCAGAUAUGGUCUUACAUGGGAGUUCUCAUAUCGGUUCCCAUGUCAUGUCCCAGACAUGGUCUUACGGGGGACCUCUCAUCUCAGUGCCAACGCCAUGUCUCAGACAUGGUCUUACAUGGGAUCUCUUUACCCAAAUGUCAUGACAUUUGUAUCCAAUAGAUUCCCAAUGUUUCAACGGGGCUUUUUAGCACAGAUUCUCUAUCAUCUCAUACUUGAGUCAAUAUUGAAUAAUUUCAUGAAAUAAAUACAUAAUUCCUAGAAAAUAGAAGCAUUAAUAAUAAUCAUUUAAAUAUUGCAUUUAUUUACUGUAAACUUACAUCGGUACAAAAUACGAUCAAAUCUAGCAAUUUAGUCUUCAAUCUUUUUCUUUCCCCGGUCUAACCCCAGAUUUCGUUCUUCUUGAUCUAUAAUAGCAAAUUUAUUUUAUUUAAUACUCAAAUUCAUCAAAACAAUCCUUGACUCAAACUUUGGAAAAAUUAUGAUUUUGCCCCUAAACUUUUUCAUAAUUACACUUUUUCCCCAAAGCUCGAAAAUUAAACUUCAUCCCUUUUUCUUAUUUUUAUAAAAUGCUAAACAUUUUUCCCUUCUAUGACAACAUCAAAUUCUUACUCUAACACUUACUUAUGAACAUUAGGUAUUUUAUCGAUUAUCUCAAUUUACUCGUUUUCACUUAAAAUUGACUAGCAAAAAUUGUUAAACAUAAUUUCUAGCUUCAUAUUCUACCAUAAAACAUCAAAAUAAACACAUUUCACCUAUGGAUAUUUUCCAAAUAUGAACCCUAGGUUAAAUUAUUGCUAGAAUAAGUUAAAUCAAGUUACCGGGACUCUAAAAACGUAAAGAACAUUAAAAACGGGGCUUGGAAUCACUUACUAUGGAGCUUAGAAGCUUGAAAACCCUAACUAUGGCUUCCCCCUUGCUAUUUUCGUUCACCAUGGAGAAGAUGAGCACAUUUUGCCAUCUUUUUCCCUUUUUAAUUCUUUUUAUUACUAAAUUACCAAAUUUCCCCUAACUUAAAAAUUUUUCCUAUUUCACUUAUCUCAUGUCCAUUUUUGUCUAUCAAAUUAACCUAUAACACCCUUUACCCAAGACCCUUUCCGAAGUUGAGCAUGAGGCAUUACUUGACUUAACUUAAAAGUUUGGGGCAUAAAAAUUUACUUUUAAAAGUUAUUUCACUGUUCAUAAUAAGGCUAUCCACCUGCGCAGCAGUCACUAAAUCAAUUAUAACUCGAGCUACGAAACUUGAAAUUUAGAUCCACAAAUUUUCCCUAAAACUAGACUCAUAUAUAUUUUUACCAUAAUUUUUUUAGAAUUUUUGGUUCAUAUAAUUAGUACAUUUUAUUAGUUAAAAUAUCUCCUGUUUCACUGAUCGACUGUCUUGACCUCUUGUCACUAAAAUUAAAUUAUCUCAUUGUACAGAUUUCAUAUGGUGUUCUCACUUGUUUUUUUUAAAAAAUAGACUCAAUAAGGAAUCUAUAAAUAUAAAUUACAACUCAUAAAUAUUUUCGUACAAUUUUUAAUGAUUUUCCAAAUUCAAAAUAGGGGAUUCCAGAAACCACUUUGACCUUGUCUAACUAAAAUGAAAAUAUCGCAGAAUACAUAAUUCCUUUGUCUACACCGUUAUUUUUCUAUAAAAAUAGACUCAAUAAUAUUUAAUUCUAUAUCUCAUCCACUCUCUAAUUCAUUUUCUACUAUCCUUGGUGAUUUUUCAAAAUCACGUCACUACUACUGUCUCAAAACUGAUUCACUAGCAAUUUUUACUUUUUCAUGAUUUCUAUGCAUAAUUUAUCACCUAGACAUUUAUAAAAAAAAACACAUUCAUACUUAGCCAUUUUAAUAACUAUUCAUCAUCAAAUAUUUACAUAUCAUCUUUUGGUCAGAUCCUAAGAAUAUACAAUCGAAAUGACCAAGUCCCUAUACAUGCCAUAGCUCAAAACACUUAUCGUCUUAAAAUACUGAGUUGUGGUGGUUGAUAGUGUGAACACUCUCCGACAUCUUCAAUAUCCCGACUAUGCUUGAUAAUACUAUAUGAAAGAAAAAGAAAUAAAAGAAAUAAGCAAAAAGCUUAGUAAGUUUACAAGUAAAUAAAUAACAACAUUUAUCAUAAACAAUUAUAUUCAUAAAUUUUUAUUAAGCAUUAAGAUAUUUACUUUCUUCUUUACUUACUCUCUUACUUGUUUACUUACUUGCUUGCUUAACUUACUCAUUUGUUACUGAAAUUUAUUUUCUCAACUGAUAACUGAGAUACUCUUAAUCUUAUUAACUCACCUGAACUUGUCUAUUAGGCUUUUACCUGAACUUUCAUGUAACAUCGUCUAUUUAUUAGCCUGUUGAAUCACUUGGAAUACUAAGGAUACUCGGGUCUCCUGUCUGAAUAUAACACGCCAAAGCUAUGUCCCAAACAUAGUCUUACAUGAAAUGUUUCUUGUACUGCCAAUGCCAUAUCCCAGAUAUGGUCUUACAUGGGAGUUCUCAUAUAGGUGCCCAUGCCAUGUCCCAGACAUGGUCUUAUGGGGGACCUCUCAUCUCGGUGCCAAUGCCAUGUCCCAGACAUGGUCUUACAUGAGACCUCUCAUAAUCUCAAUGAUGCCAAUGCCAUGUCCCAGACAUGUUCUUCCAUGGGACCUCUUUACCCAAAUGUCAUGACAUUUGUAUCCAAUACAUUCAUCAUGUUUCAACGGGGCCUUUUAACACUGAUUCUCUGUCAUCUCAUACUUGAGUUAACAUUAGAUAUUUUCAUAAAAUAAAUACAUAAUUGCUAAAAAAUAACAACAUUAAUAAUAAUUAUCAAAAUAUUGCAUUUAUUUACCGUAAACUUACCUCGGUACAAAAUAUGAUCAAAUAUAGCACUUUAGUCCUCAACCUUUUUCUUUCCCCAGUCCAACUCCGGAUUUUGUUCUUCUUGAUCUAUAAUAGAAAAUUUAUCUUAUUUAAUAGUCACAUUCAUCAAAACAGUCCUUAACUCAAACUUUGACAAAAUUACAUUUUUGCCCCUAAACUUUUGCAUAUUUACACUUUUGUCCCAAAGGUCGGAAAUUAAACUUCAUCCCUUAUUCUUAUGUUUUAUGACAUGCUGAACAUUUUUUCCUUCUAUGGCAACCUCAAAUUCUCACUCUAACACUUAUGAACAUUAGGUAUUUUUACCGAUUAUGUCGUUUUACUCGUUUUCACUUAAAAUCACUUAGCAAAAGUUGUUUAACAUAAUUUCAAGCUUCAUAUUCUACCAUAAAACAUCAAAAUAAACACAUUUCACCUAUGGGUAUUUUUCCAAAUAUGAACCCUAGGUUAAAUUAUUGCUAGAAUAAGCUAAAUCAAGUUACCAAGACUCCAAAAACGUAAAGAACAUUAAAAACGGGGCUAGAACAGACUUACAAUCGAGCUUGGAAGCUUGAAAAGCCCUAGUCAUGAUUUCCCCUUGUAAAAUUCGGCCAUGGGGUUGAAGAUGGACAAAAAUUGGCUUUUAAUUUUGUUUUUAAUUCAUUUUAAUAACUAAAUGACCAAAAUGCCCUUAAUGAAAAACUUUGGAAAAAUGUCUAACCAUGUCCAUUUCUGUCUACCAACUUAACCAAUGGUCUAAUUACCAUACAAGGACCUCCAAUUUAAAAUUUCAUAACAAUUGGACACCUCUAACAUGUAGAACUCAACUUUUGCACUUUUUACAAUUUAGUCCUUUUGACUAAAUUGAGUGCCCAAACGUCGAAUUUUUCAAACGAAAUUUUCACGAAAUCAUUUUGUGAAAUCGUAGACCAUAAAAAUAUAAUAAAAUAAUUUUUUCCUCAUCAGAUUUGUGGUCCCGAAACCACUGUUUCGAGUAGGCCCAAAAUUAGGAUGUUACAUAAGCAAUGGUCUAAUUACCAUAUAAGGACCUCCAAUUUAAAGUUUCAUAACAAUUGGACACCUCUAACAUGUAGAACUCAACUUUUGCACUUUUUACAAUUUAGUCCUUUUUACUAAAUUGAGUGCCCAAACGUCGAAAUUUUCACAAAAUCAUUCAGUGAAAUCGUAAACCAUAAAAAUAUAAGAAAAAUAAAAAUUUUCUCAUCGAAUUUGUGGUCCUGAAACUCGAAAAUCCUCAAUAAAUGCUAGACUUUGGUAUAUUUAGUAUACAAUAACAAGUUAAGAAUUAUCAUGUAACAACCCGUUUUUAGUGGUGUUAGAAAUAGUGGUUUCGGGACCAAAAAUUCGACCAAUGAGACCGUAAUUAUUAUUUAAUUCAUAUGAGUCAAAUAUAGUUUUAUAAUUUUGAUUUGAUAAAUUUUUACUAAUUGAACAAAUAGUUAAGUAUAAGUGGGUUGUCUUUAAGUAAGUGGUUUUGGAAAAUGAGAUAUCGGGACCUUGUUUUUGUAAAUCGAGCCCGUAGAUAUUUUUAUUAAAUAUUUGCAGAGCUAUUAUAUUAGUAUGUGAAGGUUCAGUUUAAGAAUUUUAAUGUUUGGUUAGUUAAUUAAAGAAAAAAGACUAAGUUAUAAAAGACGUAAAACUUCAUCAUUAUUUAUUAUUAUUAACUUAAGUGCAUAAAUAAGGUAUGUUUAAGGAUUUAUAAGGCAAAUAGACCAUUAUUUAUUUAGUGUGGACGAUUUGUAAACAUUUUAUUACAUUUCAUUCAUUAAAUUAAAAGUUAAAGUAAAAUAAAACAAAGUAAACUGCAUAUCAUCUUUUUGCUUUGAGCUUCCACCGAAAACCAACCUAAGAACCUUCAUUGAUGAAACUUUUAGUUCGGUGAGACAAGGUCCUUGCAUGUAAGUGCAUUUUUAUUUUACUUUUCAUUAUUUUUAUGUUUUUGAGAUCAUUGUAGCUUAAUCUAGUUAACAUAGAGACUAUUUCGUAAAAUUGUUAAAAAUUUUGAAAUUUUUCAUUAAUGAAUUCAAGGUGUUCUUGAGAUUAAAUGAUGAGUUAGUAAACUUGGUUGUUGUAUAACUCUUUUGUAAAGGAAUUUUUUAUAGUUUUGAAUCUAGGGUUUAAUAUGAAAUUAUGUAAAAAUUCAACAUGUAAAUUUGUGAAAUUUAUAAGUGUUAAAGGCUGGUUUGGGAUUAUGUUAAAUUAUAUUUUGGAGAAUUAGGGGUUAAAUGUGAAAUUUUAAUCAUUUCAAUUUUAAGGACUAAAUUGAACAAAGUGUAAAAGUUUAGGAAAAAAUUGUAAAAUGAAAUUUAUAGGUCAUGUGCUUAGAAAUGGGUUUGAUAGUGCAUUGGAAAUUGAUAAAGUGAAUUUGAUCAUUUUAUAGAUCAAGGAUUGAACUGUGUGGAGGAAAAUCGGUGAAAAGGAAAAUCGUAGAUUAGUCCCUACAAAUCUACUUAAUAGCUGAAUGUACUAGGAAGUUCAUAGUAUAGAUAAAUAUAUAUUCAUUUAUAACUUGUGCUAUUAUGGUUUGAUUUAAUUGUAUUUGAUUUAAGUUUUGAUUAUAAAUUGAAAUUAUAAAUUGUUGCAAAUAAGUACAGGUGAGAAAGUGAAUAUUUGGUACUUGUUAAACAUUUGAGAAAUAUGAUUUUUAUGAUUUUGGAAUGAACUUAUUUGUUUGGAAACAUGAGUAUGAAUGUAUUUAUUAAAGUGCCUCUGAAUUAUUAAAGGUGGUAAAUUCUAUUAGAAUGUUUGUUUGAACAUAGUAAACGAUUAGGAUACGAUUGGCAUGCUAAUAGGAUUUAAACAGGUUCUUGUAUGGGUUUACACUUCGGCGCCUCUGUUAUCAUUUUGAUGCUCUCUGAUGUGAUAUGGUUACUUGAGUAUCUGAGUCAUGUUACUAUAGUUCAUCAGGCUAUGAAAAUUUGUGAUUAAUCCUAUAAUAACUUGAUUUUUCUAGUGUUUAUCCAUUAGAAGGUUUGUAUUAUUGUAUAAUCAUACAAGAAUCUUUUAUCUUGAUAUUGAUGCAAUAAAAUGUAUAUAUAUGAAGAUUUUUUAUUAAACCGUUGAUGAGCAUGAAGUAUAUAAUGAACUAUUUCAAUACUAAUUCUAUGUGUUCUCGUAAAUGAUUGUCAGGUUUAAUUAAUCUAGUUAUUUUAAUUUUCAAAUGUUUAAUUGAGGUAAGUUGAUUUGAAUUUUAGCUACAAACUUACUAAGCUACUUAAGCUUACUCGAUUUGUUUUUGUUUUCUAUAGUUAACGUUUUGCGAAACUGGUUGGAACUAUCAACUUCAAAGUUCACACUAUCAAACUCUUGUUUUGGUAGUUUUUGAUUUGUUAUCUAGUGGUUUUGUAAUGUGGUUAAAGUUGGUAUACAAUGUUAAGUUUCAUGUUUCAUGAUCAACUUGUGAUGAAUAUGGUAAAACUAAUUAGGUAUAUCAUAUUGGUUCUAUUUUGUGAGAUGAUAAUUUGUGUCAUUUGAAUGGUAAACAUGACUUUAGUAUUUGGUAUCUAGAAAUGGUAACUUGUCCUUUGAUGUCUUCUUUGGAGAUUUGUUGUUAAAAUGACUAUUUUGUUCUGGUAAUCUUUUCGAACUUUGGUUAGGAUAUAUUAAUAUUAGAAAGUUUUGUAUAAAUGGUUGAUUAUGGGAUAUGUUAUUUGGAAUUUAUUUAAUGAUUGAAUAAGGUUAAUUUUUUUUUUGUUAUUGUUUAUAUUGAAAUGUGGUGCCAAUGAGGACGUAUUGGUUAAACAUAUAGGUUGAAUGUGAAUUAGUAUAUUUUGGUACAUUUUUUAAUAAGUUAAUGUGGUGGUAAAUGCAUGGCUUGGUGUCUAAGAAAUUGUAGGUGAAUUGUCUUGUGUUUGAAGGUAUUUUGGGUACACACGGUCUGGGACAUGAUUUGCCACACGGAUGUGUAUCCCACAUGGUUGCAUGACACAACCAUGUGGCCUCUUUGAUUUUUGCUGCAGGUUUGUUCACAUGGUUAAAGUUUGUUACACAGCUUAGGGGCACGACUGUGUGACCCAGGUAUACAUGGUCACAAUGAGUCACACGGCUUGACCAUACAGUCAUGUUCUUGAGCCACACAGGCUGAGCUCUAUCACAUGGCUUGACGACUUAGUCGUGUGACCACUGUUUUCACUUUUUAAUAAAAUUUUUGUAAAAGUUUUAUUUUAAUCUAGAAUUGUUCCUAGUUUGUUUUAAAUGUUCCAUAAGCUCGAAUUAGGUCCCGUUUUGAUUGAAUAGAAUUCUUAAAAAUAAGAUGACUUAUCCUCAGUGUGUUUGAUUUUUUGGGAUAUAGUAAGUAUCUUUUAAUGAACUUAAGGAUUUUUAAAGCCGAGCAUUAGUUGUAUUGCCAUAACAAUAUUUAAAUAGGGGAUAGUAGGCGCUCCACUAUUUAGAAUUGCUAAAUAGGUCAACAUCACUUUGUUUGCUCAAUUGUGCUGUUGAUUAGAAAGGUGAGUCUAAGCAAGAGUGUGUUUCAUGGAAAAAGAAUUAGGGGCACCCCGCUUUAGCAAAAAGGAUUAAGUAGUUAAUGAGAUAGUUGUAUGCUCCAUCCAUCUUUUUAGUCAAAAGUUUGAGCUUCAUGGGUGACUUUUGGUUUAAAUUGUGACAUGAUUGAUUACUCGACAAUUCGGUGUAUGCUCUAGUGUGAUUAUCGAGUCCAAGAAUUUUGUGACAUGUUAAAUCCCCUAAUAAUAAUAAUUCAAAAAAAAGCAUGAAUAUGAUUAAUAUAUUCUGAGUAGGCUUAAAGCAACUUAUGUUUAGGUACUAAAUGAACUAAGUAAAUUAAAAGAUGGUUGUUAUAGGCCAAAAGAAAGAAUACAUGAGUACUUAGGAGAGUCUAUGUUUGGGGAGAAAUUUCUACUCUACCUUUGUUGAGCAACCCUUUGACACUCGAACGAGUUUUAGGAAAAAGGAGAUUGCUAAGAACUGAUGUACUUGUUGUUUUUUGAAUAGCCUAGCAAUAUGAGUUGGUUUGGUGCGCUGGCAAAUGUUGGCAUAUAUGCAUUCAUGCAUUCAUAUGUAUCUUGCUUGAGGACAAGUAAUAACUUAGGUUUGGGGUGUGAUAACUCUUGAAAAGGGUUAUAUUUCAUGUCUUUAGACCUAGUUAAUUGCCUAUACUUAAGUACAUCUAGUUGCAUUUUAGGACAUUUCAUUAGUAUUUUUAGCAUUGCAUUAGAACUUAGGCUGUGUUUAAAUAUUAGGUACUUUUAAUUACUUGUAGAAAGGUGGUGUUUUGUGGUACUGGCAGGUGCAGGAUGAGGAACAAGAAAUAAAUAAGUGAAGUUUUGUCGAGGCAAAAAGGUGGUCAUAUUGCUAACUAUAUGCUGUGGCAAUGCUGGGAAGGGGUCCCAACAGCAUUCAACGUAUAUCAGUUUCAGCCCAACUCUAAUUGUACCAGAUACAUCUGCCUAGAAAAGAGGAGAAGAUAAAUCUUGGGUUGUUGGAAUUAUCCUAAAAAAGAGAAAAAAAAUUUAAAAAGAAAAGGAGGAAACCCUAGAGAGCGAACAGAAGGUAAGAUCCUUAGCCGAAAUAGAAGGUAGCGGCUGAAUAGAGACAGGAAAAGGAAAAACGAAGGCAAUCCCUCUUAGCCACCUCAGGACACUACGCAGCUGGAGUGUGGAUUCGACAAGCGAAUGUUGUAUUUCCAACAUUCUUCCAUUAUUUCUAAUAUGUUCCUUCGUGAAUAACAGUGAUGAAAAUGAUGUUUGAGUUGAAUUUUACUUGCCAACCUAUAAGCUAGAUCUCAUAGGGUUGGGAUUACUUUGAUAAAACUUUAACUGUCUUUAAUGGCUGCAGUAUAAAUUUGAAUUAUUUUACUAUUUCAUCCAAUUGUUUUAUUCUUUAAUUUGAAUGUAAGUAAUCUUUAGACAUGUCGACUGUGCAGCAUACCCUUAAAUUAAUCUAAGUUCUGAAAAUGUUAGAUUAGUUAGACCGUGGUUGAAUAACAUGAGCAAGUUAGAAGAGGACCUUGACCCAUUACCUAUAUGGAGGUAAGAACCAAAGGUAUAAUAAUAUGGUUGAACGCCACACCGGUUCGGUGAUAAGUUCAAUGGAGUUCGGAUUGACGCCACUAGCAAGCUAGAUAAGUCGCUUCGAGACUCGAACGAAAGAAGAGAUUAGGUAACCUCACAAGAACAAAAGUUCUAUUAAGUUUAAUUGAUCAAAUUCUGUAACCUUUUACAAUAAACAAGUCAACUAUUUAUAGGAAAAGACUAAGCUAGUCGAAUAGCCACACACAUCCUUAGGAAUUAAGCAAAUGAAUUCAUCUAAUGGUCUUGCUAAAUUCGGCUGAACAUGGACAGCUUCUAGAAUGAACAUUGAAUAUUGGAAAAUUUGGGAAGGUGCAUGGAAGAGCUAGGUUCGGCCAAUGAGCUUAAAUAGGCUCAUAUAAGAUGCAAUUUUUGGCUGAAAAGUGACCAGCAAUUAAUAGAAAAUUGGACAGCCAUUUGAAGUGUGAAUGCUCAGCUUUGAAGAGUCCUUGAGUGUGAACACCAUGAACCGAACAGCCAAAAUGAAUCCAGCAAUGUGAAAGAAAUAAAUGGCAGCUUUGGAGUAGGAAACAUCAUCUCCUUUGGCCGAAUAGUCACAUAGGAAACUUCAAAAAUUAGCACACCAUUUUAAUUGCAUUCCAUGCAUGUAUUGCCAAAUACAUUGAAUCCAACGUGCAUGCAUCUUUUAAAUGCACUCCCACAUUCAGCCAACCUACAAAAGGAGAAAAUGAACUUAAAUUAAUUUGUAUUCAGCUGAAACAUAAUUAAAACAUAAUUUGGACAAUUUAAAUUCACAUAAUUAAAACAAAACACAAUUAAUUAAAUUAAGACCUAAUUAAUUCGGUUAGGACAAGACACAUUGAAAACAUGCAAUAAAACAUAUUUAUAAGCUGUAGGAAUUAAGAUGACUUAAUAACAUGUAAGAAAACACAAUUAACAUGCAUAAUUAAAUUCGUCCAGAUUUAAGACCAAUUAAACAACAAAAAUUAAUUGAGCUGUAUAUAACUAAAUUAACUAACUCAAUAAUUAUUUCAGCAACUAUAUUAUCGCAUAAAUGGAAUUAAGCUAGAUUUGAGCUGAUUCGAGCUCUUGGAGCUAGAAACAAGCUAAUUGGAGCUCAAUGAAAUGGAAUUGAACUAAUUCAGCUAGCAUGGGUUUGCAAGCAAUGCUUAAGGAGCUGGUCCAAAAUUGUGCCCGGGGCGUGGUCGUAUCAUCCCCUCCCUUUUUAAAGUGAUUUGUCCCCAAAUCGGGCCAUUUGCUCGAAAAAAAUCUUCAAUAUUCUGAGAGCCACAAUUAGUUCGGAUUGAAAGAAGCUCAUUCGCAUGCCCUCCCUCUUUAGGAGGGUACCACCUCACAUCGUCACCUAUAAAAGAAUAAAACGAAUUAGUGACACGAUGAAGAUUAAACACAAAGGAACUUUCCGAGAUUUGAUUCACAACUUGAACAAAUAAACCAAUACUGGGGUCAAAAAUAGAAAUUGUUCUUACCUUUUUCUCCGAUGGAAACAAACCUAAAUCACAAGGCAUUUGAUAGCUAUGGUUUUGGAAGUCAACUUUCCAUGGUUCGAUUACCUUAGACAACGAUAUAAAAUGAUGUUCACCGGGGUCAAAGACAAAAUUUUCUCUUGCCAUUUCAAUUUGAUUUGUCAAUUUCAUGACAGACUUCAUAGAAAGAACACUAAGCAACUCAAAAUCAUUAUCAUGCAAAACAUGUUCAGAUCNNNNNNNNNNNNNNNNNNNNNNNNNNNNNNNNNNNNNNNNNNNNNNNNNNNNNNNNNNNNNNNNNNNNNNNNNNNNNNNNNNNNNNNNNNNNNNNNNNNNGAACAACCUCUAGAAACAAAAUUUUGAUUUUGACUUAACAAACCAACAAGAUUUACAUGUCUCAUUUUCAAACUUAAAGACAAAGCAUCAUACAAACAAAGAUUGUUUACACAUUCAUUCAAACAAAAUUUACGAUGCUUGCUUUCUUUCAUGAAUGAUUCAUAAUAACAAACUCCAGGAUUAAACACAUGAUUUUGGCUACUCGAUCCAAAUGGCAAGAAGAGUCUUUUUAUCUCCAACAAUUUACACAAAUUAAACAACGAGGGUGUUAGCAUACUCAAAUUCAAACAAGCAAACCCUUUAAAUUUCAUUCGAAAAGAUUUACGAAAACAUGGAAAUUUCACACCACAAAUUGGAUAAUUCACAUGAUCAACACAACCAAACAGAUAAUAUGUCGACGUUUGAUCACACAAUUCCAGAUCUCGUUGGUGCUGAUUUAUUCGUUCUUCAUCAAAAAUCUUGCCGAUGCCAUACUCAUCAAUACAUUUCCAUUCCUUUUCAAUAGGAUCAGUUAAAAUGAACAAUUUAUACGGACUUUCAUCUUGCGCAUCCAAAACAUGCAUUCCAUUGCAAGUUAAAGAUAAACAACCAAUACCAUCAAGAAAAUAAUAUUUUUCAAAAGCAAGAAUCUUCUUAUCAUCAGACAAAACAAAUGGAUCAUCAUCAAUCAAAGAAUGACAAGUAACCAUGUCAAAGUUCAGAUUCUUUCUAAAGACCAAAUCAUCAACAAUGUGUCCAUCAACAAUCAAAUAAGGCAGAGGUGCUUUAAAAUUUUCAACAUUCAUACCUUGCUUACCUUUUGGCAUAGGCGAACUAGGAUCGUUGAGAACAUUACCUUUUUAAGCCAAAGUGAACCUUCUAUCCAUGGGAAGGUAUUGUACUCGAAACUUGUCAAUCGAUUCUUUAAAAACCUGAGGAGAGACAACACGAGGAAAACUCACAUGUUGGUUAAUGGAAACAUUCCUCACUUUUUCUCGUUCGUCUUUUUCUUUCAUUUCUUUUUCUAACUCGGUUUCUCUUCUUUCUUCAAUUUCUUUUUCGAUUUUCUCUUUUUCACAUCCUUUUUCAAUCUCAAUUUCUUUUUUCUUUUUCUCACUCUCACUCUCACUCUCAUUUUCUUUUUCAAUUUCUUUUUGUUUUUCUUUUUCACAUGCUGUUUCGAUUUCAUUACAAAAGAAGAAAUCAUCAAAAUGGGAAGCCUUUCGUUGAGAAUAAGAAAAGGUUUCUUCAUACAAAAGACAAUCAUCUCUUUGUGAUAGAUCAUCUGUGGCUGAGUACUUUGAAACACGUUCGUCUCUUCAUAAGCCAUCCGUCACAGAUGAAUAAAUUGAUGCACUUGUAGAGACAUGUCUACCUUUUCGUUCAUCAUCUCGGAAAGACUCAAACUCGGAGUUUGCUUCUCUUGGUCUCGAACGCCUUGUUGAAUAGAAGUCUUGAUAAGAGUCUCUUGUCGAAUAUUCGUUGGAUGUUCGUCUUCUUGGCACUCUCAGUUCUACCCUUUCACUUGAAUUAAAUUGUCCUCGUUGGGCUCUUUUCUCCACUCGAUCAUGCAAUUUAUCAAAUUUUGAUUUCACUAUUCUACACAUCUCUUGCAUCAAAUAUUGGAAUUCUAUUUUGGAAAAUUCUUCUCGAGACAUGAUUAUUCACUAAAAGAAGAAAUGUUAAAAGAAUAAUAACAAAAAAUUAGAUACCUCCCCACAAAAUCCUCACCAAUUCUCUCGAAAAGGAAAUAAUUAUUUUCACUUGCACUCGUGUUUACACUCAAUUUUUGGCUUUUGUUUUUGAUGUAACUCACUCUUGCCUUUUACCACUCGACCUCGUCUCACAAUUUCAUAAUUCGUCUCGGUAGACUUAAUUUGCUGCUUGAGGGUCGAUUUCAAAAAAAUGGGUACCAAAGGGAAUAAUGAAAUGGUGUAAGGUAGGCUAAAACAAAACAAAUUUGGUUUAAGGGUGUGGCGUUGGGAAGGUAGAAUAAGUAGAAUUGAAAAACUUCUUGUGAUCGGUACUUACAAGGAUGAGAAAUAAAAUUUCGAUACUUCACUUUUUUUUUAAUAUUCGCACUUUUUUUUAUACUCUCAAAUAUAAUAAGAUGACUACAAAUGGAAUCAAAUACAACUUUUUUUUUAAUUCACAAACCUAAUUCGAAUUCUUUGAUCUUCGAUACUCCUCAUUUUGCAAGCUCUGAUACCAAAUGAUGCGAUCCGGCUCAGUUGAUUGAGUCGAUUCACUUGAUUGCUUGAUCGUCGAUGAGAAGUUUUCCUUUUGAUGUCAUAUGAAAAUUGAGUUAUGGAGAUGUAUAAGCAGAAGCAGGCAAUUUGGGUUCAAAAAAUGGCUUGGAUUGAUUUUUUUAUAGGUUCGGUUUAAUAAAGAAAUAAUUUAUAAAUUGAUAGAUAAAAUGGAAUGGAAAUUGAACUCAAGCUUCAAGAAUGUUUCAAUACUAAAAAGUAUUGCCCCGAAUCUUAUAUUGCUUAAGGUGAAUUUUGAUGAAGGAUAGAAGCGAACCUUGACCCAUUACCUAUAUGGAGGUAAGAACCAAAGGUAUGAUAAUAUGGUUGAACGCCACACCGGUUCGGUGAUAAGUUCAAUGGAGUUCGGAUUGACGCCACUAGCAAGCUAGAUAAGUCGCUUCGAGACUCAAACGAAAGAAGAUAUGAGGUAACCUCACAAGAACAAAAGUUCUAUUAAGUUUAAUUGAUCAAAUUCUGUAACCUUUUACAAUAAACAAGUCAACUAUUUAUAGGCAAAGACUAAGCUAGCCGAAUAGCCACAUACAUCCUUAGGAAUUAAGAAAAUGAAUUCAUCUAAUGGUAUUGCUAAAUUUGACUGAACAUGGACAACUUCUAGAAUGAACAUUGAAUAUUGGAAAAUUUGGAAAGGUGCAUGGAAGAGCUAGGUUCGGCCAAUGAGCUUAAAUAAGCUCAUAUAAGAUGCAAUUUUUGGCUGAAAAGUGACCAGUAAUUAAUAGAAAAUUGGACAGCCAUUUGAAGUGUGAAUGCUCAGCUUUGAAGAGUCCUUGAGUGUGAACACCAUAAACCGAACAGCCAAAAUGAAUCCAGCAAUGUGAAAGAAAUAAAUGGCAGCUUUGGAAUAGGAAACAUCAUCUCCUUUGGCCGAAUAGUCACAUAGGAAACUUCAAAAAUCAGCACACCAUUUUAAUUGCAUUCCAUGCAUGUAUUGCCAAAUACAUUGAAUCCAACGUGCAUGCAUCUUUUAAAUGCACUCCCACAUUCAGCCAACCUACAAAAGGAGCAAAUGAACUUAAAUUAAUUUGUAUUUAGCUGAAACAUAAUCUGGACAAUUUAAAUUCACAUAAUUAAAACAAAAUACAAUUAAUUAAAUUAAGACCUAAUUAAUUCGGUUAGGACAAGACAUAUUGAAAACAUGCAAUAAAACAUAUUUAUAAGUUGUAUGAAUUAAGAUGACUUAAUAACAUGUAAGAAAACACAAUUAACAUGCAUAAUUAAAUUCAUCCAGAUUUAAGACCAAUUAAACAACAAAAAUUAAUUGAGCUGUAUAUAACUAAAUUAAUUAACUCAAUAAUUAUUUCAGCAACUAUAUUAUCGCAUAAAUGGAAUUAAGCUAGAUUUGAGCUGAUUCGAGCUCUUGGAGCUGGAAACGAGCUAAACGGAGCUCAACGAAAUGGAAUUGAACUAAUUCAACUCGCAUGGGUUUGCAAGCAAUGCUUAGGGAGCCGGUCCAAAAGUGUGCCCGAGGCGUGGUCGUAUCAGCGUUCAUACAGAAGGAAACAGUGCAAGGUACCAUGUUAAAGGCCUAUAGACAUUGGCAAGGUAACUUGAGGUUUCUGCCUUCGAAAGAAGCAUACUACUUUAGAACUCUUCUGAGCAGUAGGUUAAGUAUGAUUUUGCCGAGGCAUUGCUAACAGGAAAAGUAGAUUUUUAGUAAUCUCGACCUUCCCACUCAACAUCACAUAACCCUUAUCUUUUGUCGUAGUAUCUUUGCCAUCUCAUCCUUAGUUGUUUAUUUUUCAAUUACAUAUUAUUCAUAUAAUCAUUUUCAUAAUUGACAUUACAUUCCUACUCUCGUUUUGCCAUAGCAUUUUCAAGUAUUCAUUAAUUUCACAUAUUGCAUACAUCAUUAUUCCUUUUAAUUGCCACUGUAUACUUACCAUGGCUUUACCAUAGCAUUAAUUGCAUUUUAUUAUAAUAACUAGACCACUUUAGUGCCUCAAUCUGGUACUUGUGGGAACGAUACUCACUCAUCACUUAAUUACUUGAACCGAUGUGUAUACUUACAGAAUUCGCAUAUUAUAUUCACACGUGACAAGAGUCCCAGUAGGAGUGUAACUCUUCCACUACUCAACCACCAAUGACCAACCGCCACCGGCCAACGAGAUGCCACCGUCACAGCCACCAACAUCGCCGUGUCUGGUGAUACAGGUGUGACACCCUUACGGCACCCCGAGCCAGUUCAAAUAUUGUUGGUUCGAUCUGGGUCAAUGACGACCUGACCGGUUUGGUUUAACCAUCGGUUGGACCGUCGACUCGGUUUCACAUACAGGGCUCGGUUCGACUAGUUUUUGGGUCAUGGUUUUAGUUUUGGGCUAUCCGGCCCAAUUUACGACCUCAAGUCCAAUUUUCAAGUUCAAUUACUCAUUGGGCCAAUUGUUUGACUUGAAAAUUAAUUCCCAGAAAUAUCUUAUUAAUUUUAAUUGAUUUGAUUAAUUUAAUUUUACUCGAUGAAAAUUAAUUUUUCCAAAAAUCACUUAGAUUUUCCAAAUUAACUUUUCAAAAAAAAUAAUCAAAUUCUCUAGUUGAACAAUUCUUACGAUCGCUUAAUUUAAUUCCAUAUCGAAUAAAUCGACUCAAUUAAAUUAUUCCCAAAGUUGUAGAAUUUUCUUCUAAUUUAAAUGCAGUCCGAUCGAGCUUUUGUUGAGCUAGCAGAGGGACCAAUCAGACAUAAACAAUUAGACUCUAUUGAUUGCAAUUAUUUCCAGAAGCAUUGUUCUGAUAAUUCGCAAUUACUUAAUCAUGGAGUUAGUCCACAAGAAGUACCAUGAUUGAAAAAUCCUUAUUGUAUACUCUUUACGAAAGCAAUUCAUCUAAUUGCUUUGUCCAAUGGCCUCGUCAUAUGUGUGUUACUCUCAUAUGAUAUCUUGGAUCCCUUUGAGUUAAAUCCAUCCACUCAAUACAAUCAUAUUUUAUCUCAUUGUCACCAUUGUGUUUUCUUAAUGAUUAAUAUGAUCACUGCCAAUAAAUGACUAUGGUAAAUUGCUCAUUCGAGAACAAGCAACCUGUGCUCACGUUCCAUAUUUAUCAAUCCACACAAUGCCAAUGAGAGGAUAUAAUUAACUCUUUAAUUAAGCUAUGAAUUUCAUUGUUGCUAGUAAAGCCAUGCUAUACACAAGUCAUGUACCCAACAUACUGGCUAUGGGCUCGAUCAUCUUUAAAGCAUAAGCCUUCACUUAUAUCAAAGCAAAUGAGUUGCAUAAGCAUGGUCAGUAACUAACUCAAGAUUUAGGUAAAUCACACCAUGAACGUCACAAGUGAAUUAAUUCACAAACGGAUUCAGAAUUAAUUCAUCUUGGGUCCAGUCCAAUGUAUCAUUCUACUAAUGAAUACAUUUAUUUCUCUACUCGUGGAGUCAACUGCUCCGAUAGUCAAGACUAGCCAUCUCCUCAAUUGGAAUUAUAGACGACAUAAUAAUCCUUCUUAGUAUUUGAAUCAAAUGCUCACUUUGAUUCUUUUACAAGAUUAUGGGCUCAUUUAGAUUAUGUACUGAAGUAAGUUGUCUUUUUCGCAAUGUAAAUGUUCUUACAAUGCCACUUAUCUUCUGUUUGAACUUUAGAUAAUCAAUGAGCUAAUAUUUGCUCGUCAUAAUUUCUCUAUGUAUACAAAAUAUAAAAGAGAGAAAAUACAAAAAAUAUAAUAGUGAAAUGUGAAAUUAACUUUAUUUGUUUAUUCAUCGUUCAAUUAAAUAGAAAAUAAUUACAUGUUUACUACAAUAUGACUACAUUUCCCAACAAAAAUAUCACACCAAAAAUGUAAUAAAUUAAAUUAGCGAUGCCCACAAGUAUACAGGUCAAAUUGUAACAUAGUAUAUGUGUACAACGGAAUACAGGAAGUAUUCUGAGGAUUGUACCCAAGGGAGGAUGGAAUAAAUCUAUUGAAAACUGCUUUACAAUAAUCAGUCUAAAUAGUAGUAAUUAAAUCUUAUAUUACGAUAGAUCAUAAAAUAGAUGAAUAAUGGAAAUUAAAUAACUAAAAUUAAUAAACAAGAAAAUAGACGAAUGACUAAAUCGGCAAAACCAGUCAAGAACAUUAACUCAUUCCAGGUGUUGUCCAAGCCAGAUAGUUUUUUUUCUUUUGAUGAUCAUGCAUUUCAUUUCAUUUUACCGUGACGUUUGUCUGUCCAUAGCUAUAUUUUUGUUGCAUGCACAUGUAUUGAGGACAAUGCAUCCCUUGGGUUUGGGGGUGUAUUGUGCAUUCUGGUUGCACUUUAUAUAAUAUAGAUGUUUUGCCACUACAUUUUAACCACUGAAGUAUUAUUUUGUCUAUAAGAAGGACAAUUUGUACUUAUGAUGUUCGAUGAUGAGUUUACAUUUUUCGAUAUACCUAGAACAUGUGACAGUCGAUUGGGUGAAUUUAGCUUAGGUUAAGAUGCUUGAAAUUAAAGAUCAAGAUCCAGUAUUUAAUCCUGGAAAAGAAAAAAUUUUCGAAUUGUCCCUGAUAUUGUCAUCUUUGUUGUUUAGCCAUGGUAAGUUUAUAUGGUUUAAUUUAGUAUAAUUUAUAAUACUAUAUCGACUUGGGAUUUAUGAUUUGUUGAAUAUAUAUAAUUAAACUGUCUCAAAUUGAUUCAAAGUGAGAAAUGUAAUUGAACUGUAAAGUAUUAUGUGAUUUUGUGUAUCGAGCCCGAAUAAACAUAGGAUAGGAUAUAAUUGGCAUGACAAUAGGUUAUUUUGCAUGCUGUAUGGGAUUGACUUGUGAUAAGUGUAACACCUUUUACUCGGUCCGAGCUAUAAGAUAUUACAACUAUAUACUUUAACAUCAUUCACAAUUUAAUAAAAAAAUAACCAAAUAAUUAAUUUAUAAUCAUUUCCAAGAAAGGCUAGUGUGUGCCAGAGUACGUGGCGAGGCAAAUAUAUGAGUUAAAAGUAAGUAUAGAGAGUCCACUGAAGUAAGGAAGAUCUGGGUGAAUUCUAAGUUAAGUAUUGGGCGUAGCCUACCCUGCUCGAAGAAAGUGAUAAGACUAGUAAGUAUGGAAAAAGAUAUUAAAUUUGAUAAUAAGGUAAGAUUUAAGAAAGAAUAUAGAAAGUAAAAAUAUGUUAAGUAUAGUACGCUCAAAAGAGAGGAAAAUGGUCUUUAAGAAAGAAAUAUGGUAGCCUCAGUAUUGUACCCGCCAAAGAAGGAAAAAAUGUCAAGAAGUACCCAAAAGAUGUACAUAAUAACAUACGCAACAUAGAAUGAAUGAAAAAGGUAUUCUAAGGUUUAGCUCAUUAAGUUCUUAUGAACUUACAAAAUUUGUUUCUAUUUUCAUGUUUGUAAAGGAAUAUGCGUCGAGAGACGAUACCAAGGUUACGCCAAGGGAGCGGCAUGUUGGGCUGUUAUGCAUGUAAAGGAAAGCAAAUGGUGUGUUUGAGUCUGCACAUAAGUUUAUUAAGUAGUAAUCAAAUAUGUACUUAGCAACAUAAGAGAUAGAAUAGAAGUUGAUAGAAAUUUAUUAUUCUUAAAUGUAAAUGAAAUCAUACAAUGUACGCCAUAAGAGGCUCUGUUACACUCAUAGAUAGAUGUUUACAUCAAUGAAUAAGAAAGAAGAGUUUUAACUUACAUCUAUAUAAGGCGUAACACCCAAAAUUUGGAUCUGAUAGAUUGAGUGAGGUCGAGAGCAUUACAUUUCUAGACAAUCAACCCAAAUAGGACAGAUGCUUACGUUGGUUGUUACAAACUUGGUUCAGAACAGAGACUUCGCAACAAAAUAUUCGAUAAGAGAAUUUUCAUGGAAUAAGGGUUGUAUUCAUAGACAAUAAGUAUCUUAGUACCUAACUUAGGAACCCUAGUUGGUUUAGAAGAAGGUUACAUGCACGAAAAGUAUCCUAGACACAAUAUCUUUAUUUCUUAAUUUAAGUCUGACUAGACUUUUGACUAGCGAACCCCCAGUUUGCAACUCAACUGGCAAACCCCAAUUCGCCUACCAACUUAACUUACAAUGAAUCUAGCGAACCCCUUACCACAUCUUUUGGGAUAUACCAGUUCGUCAAAACGAUGGAAAACUUCUUACUAAUCCUUCUGACAAAAAGUAGCUCGCCAAAACACUGGCGAACCCCUUACUGAUAUCCCUUUUGGUGAACCCCAAUUAGUCAAAACCCUGGCAAACCCUUACUUGUAACACCAAAAAUUUCAAUCCCGAUCUCAGGGUGUUACAAGGACAACCCCUUAGCAAGCUUAGUUUCAUGAGAGGAGAUGUAACACCAUUAACCCGUAUCUAUCGUCGGAACAUGGUUACGGAGCAUUACCAAAAUUUAUAGAUUAGAUAAACAAAUAAUUCAUGCCUUAUAGCAUUCAUAUUACAAAUCAAUCAUAAUGUCCCCUAUAUGAUCCCUCAAGGCCCAAAAUAUACAUUAGAAUCAGGUCGGGACAAAACCAGGUACUCAGAGAAUUUUUCGCAGAAUCUCAAAAUUUUUCUCAACCCAUGUAACUCUCUAACUUGGGUCACACAGCCAAGUCACACGCCCGUGUGCCAGACCGUGUGAAAAUACCUAGGCAUUCUAUUUUGAAAUUUUAAAGAUGCAGAGGACACACAGCCAGGUCACACGCCUAUGUGCUAGGUCGUGUGUCAAACAUGGAUAAGACACACACCCGUUUCUUUGCCCGUGUGAACUAAAAUAGGCUAUUUUCCAAGCCACGUUUCUCACCCAACUUGUCUUUCACCUACACCAACACUUAAACACAUUUACAAACCAUAUCAAAGUAUUUAAAACAAGUCCAAAUCAUGUCUUAAACAUGACAUAAUAUCCAUACAACCAAUAUACCCUUAGGUACCUCAUAUGACAAUUUAUUAUCAUGUUAAUCUAUCAUUUAUACUUACUUAUUUACCAAAUGCAUAUAUGUAUGAUCACAUUUAUUCUUCAAACAUGAUAGAUCCACUUAUAAAUAUGUCAAAAUAUGUCAAACACAAGUCAUUCUAAUGGCUAGUUUCAUUCAAAACAUUUACAUAUCAAUAUUAGCCAAUUAACCUAUACAUGUCAUUAUAACCAUCAUUAAUUUAUCAUAUAUACCGAAAUGGGCCAAUGGAUAGUGUGAGUGAUCUCUACCAAGCUUCUAAUCUAACGAGUUUUCGAAUUACUAUAGAACAGGGGAAAUAAAACCAAAGUAAGCAUGAAUGCUUAGUAAGUUCGUAUAACAUGGUAAUUAACUUACCAUUUAUUUAUGUUCAAGAUAAACAUGCAAGACACAGUCAACCAAUUUGCUCAUAAGCCCUAACACAUAUCCUUAUCACCCUUACUAGUCAUAUAAUUCAUUCAAAUAUCAAGAAACAUGUACGGGCUCGACAAUAACUAAAUUUCCAUAUACAUAUACUUUCCACAUCAUGAAUUCAUAUAACAUAUACAAAUCAUAUCCAUGUAUUUAAUUCGUCUCAAGUUCAGAUUAUUUCAUCUCAGGAUUUUUCCCAUUAAAUCAAUUAAAAUAUCGAUGGAAACACGAAAAGUACAUUUGUACUCAAGAUGUGCAUAUCUAUAAUCAUAGUUAAAAAUAUUCAUCAAACAAAUUCCAUGUUCAUAUAUCAUCAUCUCAUACUUACAUAUAUCAUGUAUCAUCAUUUUCAUGUAUUUCGGUAGAUACGUGUAAUAAUUCAUUUCGGUCUCAUAUUUUCUCGUGUAAGGAUUUUACCCGAUGAAUUUAUUUGAAAUAUCGAUGGAUACACAUGUAGUUCACUCGAGGUGUACAAUUUAUAGUCCAUCAAUUCAUAUUCGGGGAUGCUAAUUAAAGUACAUGAUCAGGAAAUCCUCUCUCGAGCCAUAUAAUAGGAAACUCGUAAAGAGCCAUUAAUCAAGAAGCUUAUCUGGGCUAUAUAACGGGAAGCUCAUAAGAGCCUAAAUCAGGAAGUUCAUAAGGAGCCUUUAAUGGGAAGCUCCGAAGAGCCAUUAAUCAGAAGUUCCAGAUAGCCAUAUAUCGAGAAGUUCAAGCGAGCCAUAUAUUGGGAAGUUCAAGCGAGCCAAAUCGAGAAGCUCUAGAUAGCCAUAUAACAGGACGCUCAUACAGAGCUGCGGUAUGUCCACAACACAUGCAGGACCAUUACUGAUCAUAUAACAGAACGCUCACAAAGAGCUGUGGUAUGUCAUCAAACAAAUAGUGUCGUCAAAUUUUCAGUACAAAUGCAAUAACCGUCAAUUCUAAAUCAUGUAUCGGGUAAUUCUUUUCAUGUGGUUUUUAACUAUCUGGAAGCAUAGGCUAUUACUUUGCCUUCCUACUUCAGAAACACAGCCUAAACCAUUCAAUGAUGCAUCCUUGUAAAUUAUAAAUUCCUUACCCAAUUCAGGCUGAACCAGAACUAAUGCUUUGGUCCACAGAGCUUCAAACCGAUCAAAACUUUGUUGACAUUUAUCAAAAUAUUCAAUCUUACUUCUUUCUAUAAUAAUCGUGUCAUCGGUAUAGCUAUCAUAGAAAACCCUUUCACGAAAAUUAAAAAUGGAUCAUAUAAUUAAGCUAUUUCAAUUAUUAACAUUGAAGCUUUUAAUUAUUCCAAAGCCACAACUAUCAGAUAGAUUAAAACCAUAGUGCUAUAAUUGGACUGACAUUUCAACAAUAUAGAUGGAACAAUACCUCAACAUCAAUAGUACUCUUUAAAAUAGAAGAGGAAAACCGAAAGUAGUCCCAAUAACAACCAAUGCCAUAAUACAAUUUCUAUAAUUUGAGAUCCAUAUCACCGAGCUCCUAUGAUCGAGUUAAGAUUUAUAACAAUAAUAAAUGUAAUUAACUCUGGCCAAUGAAUAUCUUUCACAGAUAAACCAUGUUUCAUAUAUAAGAUUAGACCAUAAAAAUGACAAGAAAAUCGAGAUAAUGAAAUCCAAAAUGUGAAGCUAUACUGAAUUUUCGAGAAUAAAAACACAUUGAAUUAUAAAGAGAUCGAUGAUAUCUCAGAGGAAGUCCAGAAGAGUAAUAUCGCACAUACACAGUAGAAACAGCUGUGAUAGAAACAAUAUAAAUUGCAUAUUUGCAAUUUAGAGCUUUAACCAGUAGAAGUAGAAAAUAGUAUCAUAUGAAUCUUAUCAUCAAGUCUUCUAUCAAACGUAAUUGAUUAGAAAACCAAAGAAAGAUGGAGCAAUAUCGCUCAUGAAUCAAGCAGACUUACAAUAAUUCCUUCUAAUAUUAUAAUUAGCUAACCUUUCUAUAUGAUAAGAAUCACAUUUGAAAAUGAACAGUUACAUAUAUCUCUGAGCAUCAAAGAAUAUAUAGAAUACCCAGAGGAGAUCAUUGUAAAAUACCCGAUUAUAACAACUACAUUCAAAUAUCUUUGCAAUUUCAUCACUAUUCCAUUGACUACUAAAGUCAUCAAUAAUCUCACAUUAUUUAGUUCACUAAAGAAACUAAUUCAGAAGAAAUUUCUGGUUAAUCCAUUUUAUAGAUACCAUAUAUGAAUAAGUCAAUUACUCAUGAAUAACUUAUUCCUUAAUUGUGUCAUUGCGUAUCCCGAAUAAAUCUUCAAAAUAAUCUUAUAUCUCUUUUAAAACUAUCUUUACUUACUAACCCAUUCUCUGCUUUGACUACAUUGUUAAUCAUUCAACACUGAACUCUUCAGUUUCGUACUUGUGAACUUAAUCAAUACAAAUCUUGUGCAUUUCAUUGUAUAAGACUAUACUAGUGAGGGGGUGGAGGUCGUAAAGCCUCAAAAUUUAGCUUUCAUAUGUACACGCUAACAAAGGCCGUAAGCGUGUUGUGUUUGAACCGGGAGAUUAGGUUUGGGUGCACAUGCGCAAGGAAAGAUUUCCUGCGCAAAAACGAUCUAAACUCCUUCCGAGAGGAGAUGGACCAUUCCAAGUCCUUGAACGAAUUAACGAUUAUUCUUAUAAAUUGGACUUGUCAGGUGAAUAUAAUGUUAGUGCGAGCUUUAACGUUUUUGAUUUUUCUCCGUUUGAUGCAGAAAGCAAUUUGAGGACAAAUUGUUCUGAAGAGGAGGAGAAUGAUGUGAGUUUACCUACGAACCAAGAGGAGCUCGAACAAGAGGCCAUCAAGUUGCCAAUUGGUCCGAUAAUGCGAGCUCGAGCCAAGCAAUUUAAGAGGGUUAUUUUAGCAAUGUUGGAACAAAGAGCUCAAAAAUGAAUUCAACAUGUUCAAUUUUUGGGAAGCUGAAUUUCGUUCCAGCUAAUAAAUUUGCUGCUGGAAUUUUUAGACCAUUUAAAUUAAAGCAUCUAAAUAAGUUUUUACUACAGCUUAUAAAUUUAUCUUUAAUUAAUAUAAGUGUUUAAUUUGUCUUGUUUUAGUUAAAUUAAAUAUGUCUUGAUUUCAUUUAGUUUGCCUAAAUUAAUACAUGUAUUAAAUCUGUCCAGCCGAAUUUAUGUGUCAUGUUUUAUUAAUAUUUAAGUUGUCACAAUGUUAAUUAGGAUGUUCACAUUAUGUUUUUAAUGUAGUUCAGCUGAAUUUGUUUGAAUUAAUUAAGUUCAUUUGUUUUAAUUCAGGUGCAGCCGAAUUUGGAGAUUCAUUGACUAGAUGCAUGCAUGUAGAUUCAAUGAAUGUGAAGAUGCAUGUGCAGCUGGUAUAAUGCUCUUUUCAAGGCAACUAUUCGGCCAAGAGUCAGCAGCCAAUUCAACACUCCAAGACAUGGUUGAUUCUCUUUUCAAGGAGGCAUAAAGAUGUUCACACCAUGUUCAGCCAUGUUCACACCAUAUGGCUCUUCAAAACCGUCCAUUCACACUUCCAAAUGGCUGUUCAAGUUGCUAUUUAAUGUUGGUAAUUUUUCAGCAAGAGUUGCUUCAUGAAUUACCUCAUUAAACUCCAUUAGCUGAAUGUAGCUGCUGCUAAUUUCCAAAGUUCAUUGGAAGCUAUUCUUUGGUCUCUAUUAAGCCGAACCUUGAUACAAGCUCAUGCAUGAAUUUUAGCUAAAGAUUAGUUCAAUGUUUUGCUUAGCUUUUUAAGCUUUGAAUUGUCCAUUCGGUUACCAGCACUUAAGCUAUAAAUAGUUGCUGAUUUUCUUGUAAAAGGACUUUUUUGGCCAACUUUUUGAAUGAACUAUAUUUUUGGUGAGUUAAUUCACUCUUCUUAUUCUCCAAAGCUCAAUUGACUUAUCUUCACAAGUGGCGUCAAUCUGACUUUGUUUUUGAACUUAUCACCCGUUGGUGUGGCAUUCUUCAUACCGAAGGUUCUUAUUUCACUAAAUAGUGGGUCUCGGUUUUAUCCUUAAUCCUUUCUUUUCUUUGAAAUGAUUUAAGCCCGGGUCCUUAUUUGCUAAUAAGGGUUCGUUCUUGUUUCAUUGGAAACCAGCAAAUAUCAUAUCGUUAAACACCUUUGUUUCCUAAGUCAUUCCACCUUCAAAACUCAAAGACUGAAUUUGUAUUAAACCGACACUACCUAAUUUCAAUCGGGAAUUAUUACAACUCGUUACAUCUUCCGAAACGAGCUCGUAUCAACAUUUAUCGUCAACUUAUUCAUUACAAACUUUUAUUCAUACCUCUAUGAAUUUCGUUUCAUCAUAAGCAACAUAUUUACUCAAACACUUGGGUAUCUCUUUCAACAUUAUCGGAAUUAGCUUAUUUGGAAAGCAUCUCUAUCUAUUAGUAAAACAAUUCUCAUUAGAGUCGGGAGAUAUCACACUAUCACAAGUUAUAUAAUGGCAUGUAUUUCUAGACUUCACAUAUACUACGUUCAGUUCAAGAACCGACUAAAUCGUAGCUCUGAUACCAAUAAAUGUAACACCCCUAACCCGUAUCUGUCGUUAAAUAGGGUUACGGAGCAUUACCAAAAUUUACAGAUCAGAUAAACAGAUAAUUCAUGCCUUAUAGCAUUCAUAUCAGAAAUCAAUCAUAAUGUCCCUUAUAUGAGCCUUAGAGGCCCAAAAUAUAAAUUAGAAUCAGGUCGGGACUAUACCGGGUACUCAGAGAAUUUUUCGCGAAAUCUUAAAAUUUUCCUACGUGCAGGGGUCAUAUGCCCGUGUGGUCAAGUCGUGUGAAGGGACACAUCCGUGUCUCAAGUCGUGUAACUCUCUGACUUGGGUCACACAACCAAGUCACACGCCCGUGUGCUAGGCCGUGUUAAAAUACCUACUCAUUCUGUUUUGAAAUUUUAAAGAUGCAGGGGGCACACGGCCAGAUCACACGCCUAUGUGCUAGGCCGUGUGUCACACACGGAUAAGACACACACCCGUGUCUUUGCCCGUGUGAACGAAAAUAGGCUAUUUUCUAAGCCACAUUUCUCACCCAACUUGUCUUCCACUUACACCAACACUUAAACACAUUCACAAACCAUAUCAAAGUAUUUAAAACAAGUCCAAAUCAUGUCUAAAACAUGACAUAAUAUCACAUACAACCAAUAUACCCUUAGGUACCUCAUAUGACAAUUUAUUAUCAUGUUAAUCUAUCAUUCAUACUUACCUAUUUACCAAAUGCAUAUAUGUAUGAUCACAUUUAUUAUUCAAACAUGAUAUAUCCACUUAUAAAUAUAUCAAAAUAUGUCAAACACAAGUCAUUCUAAUGGCUAGUUUCAUUCAAAACAUUUGCAUAUCAAUAUUAGUCAAUUAACCUAUACAUGCCAUUAUAACCAUAAUUGAUUUACCAUAUAUACCGAAAUGGGCCGAUGGAUAGUGUAAGUGAUCUCUGCCAAGCUUCUAAACUAAUGAGCUUCUGAAUUACUAUAGGAUAGGGGAAAAUAAAAACAAAGUAAGCUUGAAAUGCUUAGUAAGUUCGUAUAACAUGGUAAUUAAUUUACCAUUUAUUUAUGUUUAAGAUAAACAUGCAAGACACAAUCAACCAAUUUGGUCAUAAGCCCUAACACAUAUCCUCAUCACCCUUGUUAGUCAUAUAAUUUAUUCAAAUAUCAAGAAACAUGUAUGGGCUCAACAAUAACUAAAUUUCCAUAUACAUAUACUUUUCACAUCUUGAAUUCAUUUAACAUAUACAAAUCAUAUCCAUGUAUUUCAAGUGCAUUUUCAUAAUAAUUCGUCUCAAGUUCAAAUUAUUUCAUAUAAGGAUUUUUCCCAUUAAAUCAAUUAAAAUAUCGAUGGAAACACGAAAAGUACAUUUGUACUCGAGAUGUACAAAUCUAUAAUCAUAGUUAAACAUAUCCAUCAAACAAAUUCCAUGUUCAUAUAUCAUCUUCUCAUACUUCCAUAUAUCAUGUAUCAUCAUUUUCAUUUAUUUCGGCAUAUGCGUAUAAUAAUUCAUUUCGGUCUCAUAUUUUCUCAUGUAAGGAUUUUACCCAUUGAAUUAUUUGAAAUAUCGAUGGAUACACAUGUAGUUCACUCGAGGUGUACAAUUUAUAAUUCAUCAAUUCAUAUUCAGGGAUGCUAAUUAAAGCACAUGAUCAGGAAAUCCUCUUUCAAGCCAUAUAACAGGAAACUCGCAAAGAGCCAUUAAUCAAGAAGCUUAUCCUGGCUAUAUAACGGGAAGCUCAUAAGAGCCUAAAUCAGGAAGUUCACAAAGAGCCUUUAACGGGAAGCUCCGAAGAGCCAUUAAUCAGAAGUUCCAGAUAGCCAUAUAUCGGGAAGUUCAAACGAGCCAUAUAUUGGGAAGUUCAAGCGAGCCAUAUCAAGAAGCUCUAGAGAGUCAUAUAACAAGACGCUUACACAGAGCUACGGUAUGUCCACAACACAUGCAGGAUCACUAUCGAUUAUAUAACAGGACGCUCACAAAGAGCUGCGGUAUGUCCGUAACAUAUGCAUGAUCAAUACCGAUCAAAAUGCUCGCAAGAACCAUGUAAUGAGAGGAUCGAGAGGGCUUAUACGGGAUGCUCAUAAGAGCUAUGGUGUCCACAACAUAUGCAGGACCACAACCAAUACGAGAAUCCUGUAUCCAUCGAAUUUCAUUUAUUCAAACGAGACUUAAUACUUUUCAGGCAUUACCGGAUAUGUGACCGAUCUUCAUACAUGUCAAUUUUACAACAUACAUACAUAAAAUUCAAUUUAAACAUACAAAUAUACACAAUUUAGUUGCACGAACUUACCUUAACAAAUAUUUGUGUAUGUAAAAUCUACUAAUCCGACACUUUCUCUUUCCUCGUUCUAACUCUGAAUUAGGUCUAUCCGAAUCUAAUCAAGCAAAAUAAGUUGACUUGAGCUUAGGUUUCCAUGGCUAAGGUUUCCAUACUUUUAAUUUGGGGAAGAUGAUAAAAAUGAUUAUAUUUUCAUUAUUUUAUCAUUUAUCAUCUUUUAUUAUUUUACUUUCCAAUUUAGUCCAAUUUAAAGUUCUAUAGCUAUUUAAUCUCUUUAGCUUUUAGAACUCAACUUUUACACUUUGUGCAAUUUGGUCUUUUAUCAAAUUAAACAUGUAAUCGGUAAAAUUUAUUUACGAAAUUUUCAUAUGACAUUAUUAUCGUACUAUAGACCAUAAAAUAAUAUAUAAAAAAAUUUCUUUUUAAACUCAGAUUUGUGGUUUCGAAACCACUAUUUUGAUUUUACCGAAAACGGGCUAUGUUAAUAUUGGAGAAGAGAGAAAAUAGAAAUUAUACUUUGAUAUAAGAGACCAAGGUAAGGAUGAUAAGGUUUCUUCAUUAAUUUCAUGCGUCAGUCAAUGUGUACGAAAAUAAUAUUUGAUUAUUAUAUUAAUACUGAAUCAUGUAUAUUUUUAUAUAAGAAGAGGGGUGAAUCUCAAGUUGGUGAAAAAGGGAAUGAGAUGGCUAAGAUGGCUAAGGAGUGAAAGAAAUAAGAAUGAAGUUUAUUCAAACUUUAAUUUGUAAGUACAUCAAGAAUUGUUACUUAACUAAUAAAUAAGUGUAAAACUAUGUUAGAUUAGUUAUAUUAAUAUUUAUAUAUGAAUAUGUUAAUAUUUAAUAUGAAAUUGAUUAGUGAGUGUGUUUAUAUCAAUUUAAUUUCAAUUACAAAGUGAUAGAUGUAGUUUAUUAAAAGUAUGGAAAAAAGGACUAAUUUGUAAAAUGUGUAAAAUUAACAUGUAAAUUAAAUAUUAUGUUUGAGUGUAUAAAUUAAGUGAUAUAUGGAAGUGAAUUACAUAUAAAGUGAUAUUGAAGUCUUAUAAAAGGGGUUAUUGAAUUUCAUGAUGAUGGGGACUAGAAUGUAAAGAACGUAAAAGUUUAUAAGUGAUUAAUUGAAAUGUAAAAGUGAAUCUAAUAAUGUUAUAAUUUCAAAAGUAGACAAGAUGUGAACUAGUAGGAUAUAGAUGGCAUGCCAUUAGUAAACUUUCAGUGCAUAGUGAAAGUGGCAUUCUGGUGCAACUCAGUGAUUAUGCACUUCAGUGCAAAGUGAUAGUGGCUCUUUGGAGCAUUUCAAUGAUUCAACACUUCUUUGCAUUAUCGUGUAAGCAAUUUAGUGCUAAUACUUUAUUGAAUUUCCACAUAUCUUGCAUGUUCUAUUGAGUCUACUAUGGGCUGGCAUAAAGUGGUAAGUGAAAAUAAAAGUGAAAUGGGAAAUGAAUUAGUAGUGAAAAAGUAAAUGGUUUUUAAUGGAAUUAUUUGAAAACUUUAGUGUUAAAUGUUUUUUUCUAUCAAAGUUUUAUUUAAAUGUUCAAUAUUGAUUAAUGCAAAGGUAAAUUUAAUUCUUGAAGUACUUACUAAGCUUUCACAAGCUUAACACAUUAUUUAUCAAUACGUAGGUAAAUAUUCGACUUGAAGCUUUAAAGUGAAAUUAGAACCUCAACUCGUCUCAUCACAUAUCAAGGCUUGGAAGAGUAUGGAUUCAAUCCUUUGGUAUUAGUUUAUGGCAUGUACAUAAGUUUAAUUAAAGUAUAUGUUUAAGAUUUCUAGUGAAAAUACUUGGUGAAUCUUAAGUACUUUGUUAGCUCUAUGAACUUAGUUGAGAUUUGUUUGAAGUAUAUGUUGUAUUAAAUGAUGUUUUGAUGGUGCUCUAUGUUUUAAAUUGGUUGAUGUAUGAGAAUGAAUAAAAUUGAUUGUGGCAUAAGAGUGUUUGGGCAAGUAUAAGGCUCCCUUACACUUAGGGUGCAAUACCCUAGUGACAGGUAUUGGUACCUAAGAGUUAGAAUGAUAAAAUCUACAAUGUUUUAGCCUAGGUAUUGAUACCUAGCACAGAGGUACCGAUACCUCUACUUCAAACCACUCAGUUUGGUUAGUUUUGCUCAGGAAAGGCUUUAAAUGUACUUCGUUUGCAACCAAACUUUGAAGAUAGGUUAGAAAUGACUAGAAUCACUCCAAACGAGCUUAAUUUGGUUAAAAUGAAUGGAAUUAGAUGAUGUUCAAGUUUAGUGUUUGUAGUGCCCAAAUGUGACAUUUGUUGCUAGGGUUGUCGGGUUAUCCCAGGUAAUGGGUAUUACAAAUUGUUGGAAAAAUCAAUUUGGAAAACUUGUUUACACAACAUAAUUUUAAUUUUUUUUCUAAAACCUGAGCCAUUUUGUGUUAUUUAUAGAAAUGAACUUUACCAAAUUAGUACAUAUGUUUUUCACUCAACGGAACUUAUUGAUUCUUGACUUCCAACAAACACGAUCUUUUUCGCUAUUCUCGCACCCUCAGUUUGCUUAAAGAGUGGGCUCUAAUUCAAGAACCGAUCAUACAAUGACUACAUUUAGAGUGGUGUGAUGUUUACUUAUCCCAUAGUCCCUUUUUAUAAGGAAAAUCCACAAAAGUUCUAUUUGAAUAAGAGGAGACAAAAAUAAUACAAUUUUAAUAAAAAACACGGACUCCCAUUUAGACAUCACAUGGUGAGUGGCACACACACGAGGAAUAUUCCAAUGUGCUACCCACAAUAAUACAAGUGGGCUUUAUUAGGUUUUUCUUGUAUUGGGUACAACUAUAUAUUUGUUAUAUAGUCUUUAAAACAACUUAUAUAAUUUAUCCAACUCAAUACUAGUUUUAUGUUCUCAAAAUAUUAUUUAUUUAAUCAAUUAAAACAAAUUUAAUUAUUUCUCUCAAUUAAAUUAUUGGAUAAACUAUACCCACCAUCACUAAACUAUUAGUACAUUUACGUUUUGGUCACUCAACUUUAAAAAGCUAUAGAAUGGUGACUGAACUAUUUAGAAGUUCUCAUUUAAGAAAUUGGGUUGUUAAAAUACUACCGUAUGGCCUUUUUUGUUCGCCCCAUCUGCACCAAUCGAAAGCUUUCCUUCCCCUUCCCUUCUACGAUUAAGUUUUUUUUUCUCAUGAAACAACUUUGAACACCACAAAUCUACGAACCAAAAUCCAAACAAUUUUCUUUUCCAAUCUCCGACAAUAACUAUUAAAUCGACUUAGAUCUAAGAUAUGUUAUUAUACUUGUCGAUGGGUACUGAUCCACAUAUCGUUCAUCGAAACAUUGCUUGAAGCUUGUUAGCCAAACUUUUUUUUUAAAUAACUUAAUAGCCUAGUGACUUAAAAAAACUUUUAAAUAGUUUAAUAACUUAAAUGAAAACUUUGAAAUAAUUUAGUGAUCAUUCUGAAAUUCUUUAAAGUUUAAUGACCAAAACAUAAAUUUACUAACAAUUUAAUAAUAUUAAUGUAAUUUAACUAAUUUUAUUUAAAAUGAUGAUAUAAUAUACAAUUUCAACUUUUCAUUGGGUGGUAAAAGCUAACAAAUCCAUAAUCAAACAUAUCUAAGUAAAUCAAUGUUUUAUUUUAUAGGGGAAGUUUUAAAAUUACAAUAUUUAUACCAAACAUGCGAUAAGCUUUGCACAGCAUCAACAAAGAAACCCUAAAAGCAGAAGAGUUCCUAAUAGUGAAGUCUUCUGGAUCCUUCCUAAAAUAUAAUAUUUUAUAUAUCUAUCCCACAUUCUGGAUUCUUCUACCUCCCCGCCCCGAACCCUCCAGAGCGGCCCCUCCCACCCAGUUGCUUCUUUUAAGCUCUCCCUUCCAUUAUUAUCCUCACAUCUCUCUCAAUCCCUAAUACACCCUCGUCUUGAUUUUUUCAUCAAUGGCCAAGUACGGCGAAGGCGACAAGCGCUGGAUCGUGGAGGAAAGACCUGACGGUGCUAACGUCCACAACUGGCACUGGGCUGAAACCGAUUGCCUCCCCUGGUCAAAAAUGUUCUUCACCAAAUCGCUUUCGGAUCUCACCAUCCUUGACGGCCAAGGCAAUCUCCGCAUCAAGACCAAGAAGGUCGAAAAGGUC
rnacentral:lncRNA from 1 species